CUGUCUUUCUGUCUUUCUGUCUUUCUGUCUUUCUUUCUGUCUUUCUUUCUGUCUUUCUUUCUGUCUUUCUUUCUGUCUUUCUUUCUGUCUUUCUGUCUUUCUUUCUGUCUUUCUUUCUCUGUCUUUCUUUCUCUGUCUUUCUGUCUUUCUUUCGUUUCUCCAAACUGUCCUCCAUAGUGGCUUUACCAGUUUUUAGCAUCUUUCUAAGUCACUGUCCAUCCUGCUCUCAGAGUUCACGAUCAUAAUAAUAUCCCAAUUAUUUAUUGAGGGCUUUUUUGUACUGAAAGUAUGGUAAUUAUCUCAUUUAAUUAUUGCAGCAUUCUUUUUCAUUGUGGUAAAAUAUUUACCAUCAUAACCAUUUAAAAUACUAAAGAAUAUUAUUUGAAGAGCAGAGUGAGAGACAGAGAAAGAGAGAAAGAAAUGGAUUUUCGGUCUGCUGGUUUACUCCCCAAAUGCCUGUGUCAACUAGGGCUGAGCCAGGCUGAACCUAGCAGCCAGGAACUCCAUUCAGGUCUCCCAUGUGGGUGGCAAUGACCAUUUUCUGCUGCCUAGGGUGCACAUUAGUGGAAAACUGGAAGACUCAAUCCCAGGCAUUCCAGGGUGGGAUUGUGGGUCUCCCAAGCAGAUGCUUAACCUGCUUUGCUACAGUGCAUGCUCCAUCAACUGUACCAGUAUCACAUAAUUGUGAUAGAGCUCAAGAAAUUUUCAUCUUAGAAAACUAAAACUUUGGACCCAUUGGACAAGAAUCCCUCAGUCCCCCGGACAUAUUUGUACAUAUUUGGAUGUGUGUUCAGCACUUUGACCUGUGGGGUAUCUAGGGGUUGGUGCACACUGAGUGUGACCUAGGUGAUUGUACAGUCAUUACCGAAUAUUUGCUGUGAGCCAGGCCUCUUCUCCUCGCUUACGUGCACUGUUUGUUGCUGUAAGACCUGGAGGUAGAUAAACUUGCGUUGUUUGGUAUUGGCCUCCGGAUUUGAUUUGUUCACUUAUUCAUAUGAAAAAUGCUGCUACUUGCUCUGGCUUUGCUGUGUUGUGGAUUCUGCAGCUCUGCUGUGACUGUGGUCCUCAGCCUUAGGAGACAAAUGUAAUUCCCCUUUUACCAUCCUGCUGAGAAGUGGAAGAUGACCCUUAUUUUAGCAAAACACACAAAUUUUUUUCUUUCUUCUUGUUUUCUAUUAUUUUAAAAUAGGUAAUACACUUUAUGUGUUUACAAAAUUCAGGCUAAGCAAAGGAUACUCAGUGAAAAACAAUAGUCUAUGCAGAUCCAAACCCACCCCUAUAUGUGUUUGUGCGUGCUUCUGCCUAAGUCUUAGCUUUUUAUUUUUAGACACAAUCGUAAUAUUUUAUAUCUUUUCUCCCCUCUCACUAUGUCUUAGAGAUGCUUCAUUCAGCUGCCUAUUGAUGUGCCUCUUACUAUUUUGUGGAGAUAUUGAACCUUUCUGAACUGUCGUUUAUGGACAUUCACAGUCUUCCAGUUUUUAUUUCUGUUAGAAAUAAUAUCUCACCAACACUAAUAUAUAAAAGUUUUUUAAUGCAGAUGAAUUCUUAGCAGGGAAAAGGCUGGUCAAAUGGAAUGUAUGUAUUUAUCAUUUGAUAGGUUGCUUCAAGUUGUUCUCCAUGGAAAUUGUACCUGUUUAUAAUCCUAGUAGCCUAUGAAUGAAUGCCACACCUUUGUCAAGCAUUAUGUCUCAUACUUGUUACUUCAAAGAGAAUUAGAAAUUGAAAUACAGUAAAAGAGCACUUUUCACCUAAUUAUGAGUAAGGUUGACAAUAUUUCAUUUAUUUUUCCUUUUCUGUGAUUGAUAUUUCAUGUUCUUUGCUCUUUAUUUUUGUUAUUAGAAAGCUGCUAUUUUUGCUGAUUUGUAAAUGAUUAUUAUGUAAGGGUUUUCCCACAAAGUUUGUGGGGAAUAGAAUUAAAAGAUAAUGCCGGCGCCGCAGCUCACUAGGCUACUCCUCCGCCUUGUGGCGCCGGCACACCGGGUUCUAGUCCUGGUCGGGGCGCCGGAUUCUGUCCUGGUUGCCCCUCUUCCAGGCCAGCUCUCUGCUGUGGCCAGGGAGUGCAGUGGAGGAUGGCCCAAGUCCUUGGGCCCUGCACCCCAUGGGAGACCAGGAUAAGUACCUGGCUCCUGCCAUCGAAUCAACGCGGUGCGCCCGCAGCGCGCUGGCCACGGCGGCCAUUGGAGGGUGAACCAACGGCAAAGGAAGACCUUUCUCUCUGUCUCUCUCUCUCACUGUCCACUCUGCCUGUCAAAAGAAAUUAAAAAAAAAAAAGAAUUAAAAGAUAAGCUUAUUUUAGUGCAAAAAAAAUUGAAAUCUGUACAUACAAGGAUUCUUUAAAAAGCUUGUAGAAGUGCAUUUUAUGAAAAAAAAACUGUUAAUUUCAAUUUUUAUACCAAAAUAAACUUAUCUUUCAAUUCCAUUAACUUCAUAUAAUUAAUUAAUUUAAAAGUCAAGGUGACAGAAAGAAAGAUAGGGAUGGACACAGAGAACCAGAUCUGCUGGUUCACUUACCAAGUAGCUGCAUCCGUCAGGGUUGGUCCAGGCCAAAGACAGGAGCCUGAGCACUUUGGGGCAUCUUCCACUGCUUUCCCAGGCACAUUAGCAGGGGGCUGGAUCAGAAAUGGAAUAGCCAGGAGACAAACCAGUGCUCCAGUAUGGGAUACCAGCAUUGUAAGUACUGGCUUAACCCACUCAUACCUCAAUGCCAGCCUCUCCAUCAACUUUUUAAAGUACUCUUUUAUAUUAGAAAAUUUACAAAAUCAUUGAGGCAAAAAUGGAUGAUUUAAUGUUAUGACAGGCCACCCAUAUUGAAAAGUAAAAUUAAUAUCCUUAAGUUUUACUAUACUCAAAAGAAGUAUAAGGGAAAAACCAAAGUUUUGGGGCCGGCAUUGUGGCUCAGUAGGUAAAGCCGUAACUUAAGACAAGAGUCAAACUUUGCUUUAAAUGUGUUUGGCAUAGGAAAUUCUGAAGUAAAAGAGCAGAAUUCACUCAUUCUGCAAAAAUAAUUUGAGAACCAAGACACCAUAGUUGGAGAUGUGUGUUUGGACUGGUAGAUGAGACACUGGUUAAGUUGCCUGCAUCCUGUAUCAGAGUACCUGGGUUGAAUACCAAGAUCUGGCUCCCGAAUCCAACUUUCUGGCAGACAGUGGUGAUGGCUCAGGUGAUUAGGCUUCUGCCAUCCACAUGGCAGAUUGAGUUCCUAGCUGCUGGCCCUGGCCCUGGGCCAUUGCCAGCAUUUGGGAAGUGAGCCAGUAGACGGGAGCUGACACUGUUUCUCCCUUUAAAGUAUAACUUUUUAAGAUAUCUUUUUAAGCAACAUGGUAGGCACUCAGAACUAUCCCACUCCACCUCUCCCAAAUGUUACUCUAGUUCUUUGGCUCACGGUCCAAUAAAGAAGGCAAGAACAGUAAGAGAUAAAGGUGCAUCUAUUUAGUAAACAUCUGUUAUACAUACAUCUGAGAAGAGUUCUCUCUGGGCUUUAGUGUCCAUAAGAAGCUUUAAUAAGAGAAUUUAACUGGGCUUGAAUAAUAAAUAGGAAGAUGAUGAGAUCUAGAGAAAACUUCUUUUUUAAGAUGUGUGUGUGUGUGUGUGUGUGUGUGUGUGUAUAUAUAUAUAUAUUUGAAAGGUAGAGUAACGGAGAGAGAGGGAAAGACAGGGAGAGUGAGAGAGACAGAAACCUUCUAUCUACUGGUUCUUUCCCAGAUGGCUGUGCCUGUUCAUGUCUCAGCUGCCAUGCUUCCAAACCAGCUCUCUGCUAAUGGCCUGGGAAAGCAGCAUCACUUGGCCCAAGUGUUUGGCCCCCUGCCACCCAUGUGGGAGACCUGGAUGAAGCUCAUGAAGCCCCUGGCUCUUGGCUCUGGCCUGGCUCAGCACAUUAGAUGGGAGCUGGGUCAGAAGUGGAGCAGCUGGAAUACAAAUUGGCACCUUCUACGCCACAACACCAGCCCUUAUCUAAUAUUUUUAACCUUGCAGGUGAUGAGAAAUCUAUGGGAAAGACACUUUGAGAGCACAUAAAUUCUACCCCUCAUCAAGCUUUCCCUAAGAUUUAGCAUCCUUGAUAAAUGUUGCCUGCUCCUGUCUUUGCUUAUAUAGAUUGCAAAAUGUUGAUUUUCUGUCUUUACCAAUCUAGUGUAAGGAAGAGCCCUCUACUAUCACCUCUUUCAAUGUAUUUAUUUAAAUGACUUUAAAGAAUUAUUUAUUUGAAAAUCAGGGAGAAAGAGGGAGAAAAAGAGAAAGAGAAAGAAUGGGGGCAGAAAGAGAUUUUCCAUCUGAUGGUUCACUCCUCACAUGCUUGCAACAGCCAGGGCUGGGCCAGGCCAUAGCCAGGACCUUGGAUAGCAGGACCUCAACUACUUGAGCCUUCACCUGCUGCCUCUCAGGGUACACAUUAGCAGGAAGCUGGAUUGGGAGUGGAGCUGGGACUGGGACACAAGCACUCUGAUAUGGAACACAGAUACCCCAAGUGGUGUCUUAACUCCUGUGCCAACUCCUGCCUCAAUAUAUCCAUUUGUGAUCAUUGUGGUUGAUUGAUAGUCUAUUAUUGUUUGAUGGUUGCUCAGAUUCUUUGACUCCUUUAAUGUACAGCUUUUUUUUUCUUUUGUAUUUUUAAAAAUUUUAUUUAAGGUAUACCAGCUUCAUGUAUUUCAUAUAUACACAUUUAGGAAUAUAGUGAUUCUCCCACCCUACCUUCCCUCCCACCUGCACUCACACCCUGCUUCCUCCUCCCUUUCCUAUUCCCAUUCUUAUUUUUUGUAACGAUCUGUUUUCAGCGAACUUUAUACUUGUAAUAUUAACCCUGCACUAAGCAGAGUUCAACAAAUAGUAUGAAGAAAAAAAAAAAAUUGUUCCUCAACAGUCAAGACAAGGGCUGUUCAAAGUCAUUGCUUCUCAGAAUGUCAGUUACACUCCCUAUUUUACCUUUUAGGUACUCUGUUAGUUUCCACAGAUCAGAGAGAACAAACCGUAUUUGUCUUUUUGGGACUGGCCUAUUUCACUAAGUAUAAUGGUUUCUAGUUGCAUUUAUUUUGUUGCAAAGUCAGGGUUUUUUUUUUUAACCUCGGAGUAAUAUUCCAUAGUGCAAAUAUACCAUAAUUUCAUUAUCCAGUCUUUAGUUGAUGGACAUCUGGGUUGAUUCCAUAUCUUACCCAUAUCUUACCUAUUGUAAUAGAGCUGCAAAUAAACAUGGGGUACAGAUCACUCUUUCAUAUGCUGAUUCUUUUCCUUUAGGUAAAUUCCUAGGAGUGGGAUGACUGAGUCAUAUUGUAGAUCUAUAUUCAGAUUUCCUAGGUAUCUCCAUGUCAUCAUCCAUAGUGGCUGCACCAGUUUGCAUUCCCACCAACGGUGGAUUAGAGUACCUUUUCCCUCACAUCCUCUCCAGCAUUUGUUUUUUGUUGAUUUCUAUAUGAGAACCCUUCUAAUGGGGGUGAGGUGAAAUCUCAUUUUGGUUUUGAUUUGCAUUUCCCUGAUGGCAAGUGAUCCUGAGCAUUUUUUUCAUGUGUCUAUUGGCUGUUUGAAUUUCCUGUCUUGAAAAAUGUCUGUUCAAGUCCUUCUCCUGUUUCUUAAAUGGAUUGUUUGUUUGGUUGUUGUUGAGUUUCUUGAGCUCUUUAUAGAUUCUGGAUCUUAAUUCUUUAUCAGUUACAUAGUUUGCAAAUAAUUUCUUCCAUUUUGUCAGUUGCCCCUUCACUUUGCUGAGUGUUUCUUUUGCAGUGCAGAAGGUUCUUAGCUUGAUAUAUUCCCAUUUGUUAAUUUUGGCUUUGAUUGCCUGUGCUUCUGGGGUCUUUUCCAAGACAUUGCUUGUGCCAAUGUCUUUUAGGGUUUCCCUAGUGUUUUCUAGUGAUUUGAUGGUAUCACUUUGUAGAUUUAGGUCUUUGAUUGAUUUUGAGUAGAUUUUUUGUGUAAAGUGUAAAGUCGGUGUCUUGCUUGAGUGUGCAGAUCCAGUUUUCCCAGCACCAUUUGUUGAAGAGACUGUCCUUGCUUCAGGGAUUGAUUUUAGCUCCUUUGACAAAGACAAGUUGGUUGUAGAUGCAAGGAUUGAUUUCUGGAAUUUUUAUUCUGUUCCAUUGGUCUACAUGUCUAUUUUUUUUUUUUUUGCCAUUACCAAGCUGUUUUUAUUAUAACUGCACUGUAGUAUGUCUUGAAAUUGGUUAUCAUGAUGCCUCCAGCUUUGUUUUUGUUAAGAUUACUUUAACUAUUUGGGGUCUCCUAUGUUUCCAUAUGAAUUUCAGCAUCAUUUUUUUCAAGAUCUGAGAAGAUCAUUGAUAUUUUGAUUGGUAUCACAUUGAACCUGUAAAUUGCUAUCAGUAAUAUGGACAUUUUUAUGAUACUGAUUUUUCCAAUUCAUAAACAUGGACAUUUUUCUAUUUUUUGUGUCUUCUAUUUCUUUCUUUAAUGUUUUAUAAUUUUCAUCAUAGAGAUUUUGGCAUUCUUGGUUAAAUUUACUUCAAGGUAUUUAAUUUUUUUUUUGUUGCUAUUGUGAAUGGGAUUGAUCUUAGAAGUUCUUUCUCAGCCAUGACAUUGUCUGUGUAUAUUCAAAGGCUAUUGAUUUUUGUGUGUUAAUUUUACAUCCUUCCACUUUACCAAACGCUUUUAUGAGUUCCAGUAGUCUCUUAGUGGAGUCUUUUGGAUUGCCUACAUAUGUUAUCUGCAAAUAGGGAUAGUUUGACUUCCUCCUUCCCAAUUUGUAUCCCUUUUAUUUACUUUUCUUGCCUAAUGGCUCUGGCUAAAACUUCCAGGACUGAAUUGAAUAGCAGUAGUGUGAGUGAGCAUCCUUGUCUGGUUCCAGAUCAUAAUGGGACUGUUUCUAAUUUUUCCCCACUCAAUAAGACGCUGGCUGUGGACAAUCUAUUUGUCAUAGAUUGCCUUGAUUGUGUUGAGGAAUGUUCCUUCUAUGCCCAGAUUGCUCAAGGUUUUCAUCAUGAAAGGAUGUUGUAUUUUAUGAAAUGCUUUUUUUGCUUCUAUUGAAAUAGCUUUUGUUCUUCAAUGUGUUAAUGUGAUGUAUCACAUUUAUUGAUUAGCGAAUGUUGAACCAUCCCUGCAUACCAGGGGUAAAUCUCACUUGGUCCAGGUGAAUGAUUUUUGUGAUGUGUUGUUGGAUUUGAUUAGUAAUUUUGUUGAGGAUUUUUGCGUCUGUGUUCAUCAGUGAUAUUGGUCUAUUCUCUUUCUCUUUCUAAUUUUUUAGAUUUAGAAAUUAAGAUGAGCUGGCUUCAUAGAACACGUUUGGGAGGAUCCCCUCCUUUUCUGUUGUUUUCAAUAACUUGGGAAGAAUUGUAAUUAGUUCUUCAUUAAAUUUCUGGUAGAAUUCAGCAGUGAAGCCAUCCAGACCUGGGCUUUUCUUUUUUGGGAGGGCCUUUAUUACUGAUUCAAUUUAUGUCUUGGUCAUUGGUCUGUUUACCUUGUCUGUGUCUUCAUGAUCCAAUUUUAGUAGAUUGUGUCCAGGAAUCUAUCCAUUUCUACUAGGUUUCCUAAUUUUUUGGCAUACAGCAAUUUGUAGUAAUUUCUGAUUAUUCUUUUUGUUUCUGUGGUAUCUGUUGUUACAUUUUCUUUUUCUUUUUCUUUUUCAUUUGACAGGUAGAGUUAUAGACAGUGAGAGAGAGAGACAGAGAGAAAGGUCUUGCUGUUGUUGGUUCACUCCCCAAAUGGGCACUAUGGCCGGUGCUGCGCCAAUCCGAGGCCAGGAGCCAGGUGCUUCUUCCUGGUCUCCCAUGUGGGUGCAAGGGCCCAAGCACCUGGGGCAUCUUCCACCACCCUCCCGGGCCACAGCAGAGAGCUGGACUGGAAGAGGGGCAACUGGGACUAGAAGCCAGAGCCCAUAUGGGAUGCCGGCGCCGCAGGUGAAGGAUUAGCCUACUGAGCCACAGUGCCAGCCCCACAUUUUCUUUUUCAUCUCUGAUUUUAUUCAUUUGAGUCUUCUCCUUCUUUUAUUUAUUAUUAUUUUUUUUGAUUAGUUGGGCCAAUGGUGUAUCAAUUUUGUUUAUUUUUUCAAAAAACCAGUUCUUCAUUUCACUGAUCUUUUGAAUUAUGUUUUGUUUUUAAUUUUGUUUAUUUCUGAUCUAAUUUAAAUUCUUUAUUUUCUCCUAGUUUUUGGUUUGAUUUGCUAUUGUUUUUCUAGGUUUUGCGAUGCACUGAUAGCUUAUUUAUUUGGUGCCUUUCCAAUUUUUUGAUGCAGCCACCAAUUGCUGUAAACUUCCCACUUAGCACUGCUUUUGCUGUAUCCUGUAAGUUUUGAUGUGUUGCGUUGUUUUGUUCAUUCAUUUACAGAAAUGUUUUAAUUGCUCUUUUUAUUUUUUCUGUGACCCAUUGUUCAUUCAGGAGCAUGUUGUUCAGUCUCCAUGUGUUUGUAUAUGUUCUAGAGAUCUCUUGAGUUGCUCAUUUCCUGCUUCAUUACAUUGUGGCCUGAGAAGAUACAUGGUAUGGUUUGGAUUUUUUUGAAUCUUCUGAGACUUGCUUUAUGGCCUAGCAUAUGGUCUAUACUAGGGAAAGUUCUGGGCACUGAGGAGAAGAUUGUGUCUUUUGCAACUGUGGGAUGAAUAAUUUUGUGGAUAUAUGUUUGGUCUGCCAUGUCGAUUAGCUCUGUUGUUUCUUUGUUGAUUUUCUGUCUGGUUGAUUUGUCCAUUGCUGAAAGUGGGAUAUGGACAUCCUCCAUUACUGUGGUAUUGUAUGUAUGUAAGAUACAGUAUGCUAGAUCCUUUAACAUUCUUUUAAAUAGCCAGGAGCCCUGUAAUCGGUCGCAUAUACAUUUAUUAUAGUCACAUCUUCCUGUUGAAUUGAUCCCUUAUUCUGUCGCUCCCCCUCUUCGUGGAGGAACGACACAGGACCCUGCGCUGUUCUUUUGUCUGCUCGGCCCUCCCCGGGUUUGCUGCUGGUUCUUCCCGGGUUGGCUACCGUCCCUUCCACCUCCGUGGAAGGGCGGUUCCCCCUGGCCACUUUCUCCACUUCCGCGGGGGAGCGGCACACCACCGGCGGCUCUCUCGGGGGCUGCACAGGUGUCCCUUAAGAUGUUCCUCUUAGAUGUUCCCGGUGCAUGUUGUCUCUCUCCUCCUUUAUAGUCCUCUUCCACCAAUCCCAACUCGGCUGCCCACACGCCGAGUACGCUGCUCUCCUCCAAUCAGGAGCAGGUCCUGCUGUUUAUUGGUUGAAUUGGAGGCAGCUGUGUAGAAGCUGUUUUCUCCUCUCCCAGCGCCAUAUUGUGGGAGAGCAGAUGCAUAGAAUAAGUCUUAAUUCCAGUAACUUAGUCUAGUCCGGGUUGCUCCCCACAUUGUUCAUUACAUAGUGCACUUCUCUCUUUUCACAGUUUUUGUGUUAAAGUCUAUUUUGUCUGAUAUUAGGAUGUCUAUACCAGCUCUUUAUUGGUUUCUGUUAGCUUGCACUAUCUUUUCUCAUCCUUUGACUUUUAGUCUGUGUGUAUCUUUUUGAAAUGUGUUUCUUAUAGGCAGCAAAUAGAUGGGUUUUGUUUUUAAUCUACUCAGUCUGUAUCUUUUAGCCGGAAGGUUGAGGCCAUUUACAUGCAAAGUGACUAUUGAUAAGUAAUGACUUGGACCUGCCAUUUUUCUAUAAAUAUUCCUAUUGUUUACUUUGGAUUUUCUUUGUAUUUUCACUGGGAGAUUUUUGGCCUUCACCUUCUUUCGUAGUGCUGACCAUGUUUCUGUGUUUCUGUGUGUAGUACUUCCUUAAGCAUCUUUUAUAAAGCUGGAUGCCUGGUGAUAGAUUCUUUCCAUUUCUGUUUGUUAUGAAAGGUUUAUAUUUCACCUUCAUUCAUAAAGGAGAACUUCACAGGGUAUUGUAUUCUGGGUUGACAGUGCUUUUCUCUUAAGAUUUGGACUAUAUCUCGCCAUUCUCUCCUAGCCUGUAGGAUUUCUGAUGAGAAGUCUGCUGUGAGUCUAAUUAGAGAUCCUCUGAAAGUAAUCUGGUGAACAUUUUAGAACUUUUUCUUUAUGUUUUAUAGUUGAGAGUUGACUAUAGUGUCAUGGUAAGGAUCUUUUCUGGUCAUUUAACUAGGAGUUGUAUGUGCUUCCUGUACUUGCACGUCCCUUUCUUUCUCCUAAUUGGGGAUGUUUUCUGUAAUUUUAUCACUAAAUAGGUCUUCUAGUCCAUUCUCUCUUUCCAAGUGCACAGUUUUUUAUAGGACAAAUUUCUCUGUGGGAAAUUGCUGACCAUGUGCAUGUCUCCUUUUAAUACAUAUUAUCAAUUUGACAUCACAAAGCAUGUUCUUUCCUGCUAGUAGUGUUUAAGAAUGCUUGUUAUCUCCCAAUUUUGCUGGUUCUGGAAUCUUUAGUCUUCAUACUUUACUGCUCUAAUGGGAGUGUGAUAACUGAGGAACUUUAUUGUCUUCAUAUAUGUAAUUUCAUUAUAUUGAAUUCUUUUAGUUGCUUCCAUGUAAAAUCUUUUUCUGAUAUUUAAAUUGGGUUCUCUCUGUCUGUCUCUCUCUCCACUUGUGAAAGUUCUUAUGUAAGUUAGUAGGUUAGUUAGCCUGGUGUAAUGUGUUACAUAUAUGUGCAUUCAAUGCUUUGAAUUUUAAUUUAAUCAAAUUUACUAGUCCUUUCAUUUAUGCUUUUUAGAUUUUAUAUAGUGCCUAAAAGACUUUCUCAAUGUGAAGAUUAUGAAAAUAUUCAUCUACUUUUCUUUUAAAAAAGAAUCAUUUUAUAUAUUUAACCUUCAAAUUGUCAUGGAAAUGUUUUCCUAUCAUUAUUUAAUAUAUUCAAGGGCAAACUCAUUACCUUUCCAUUGCAAACUAAUUUUGCUUCCAGUGACAUUUACACCAUUGUAACUCUGAGGACCAAAGCUCUCAGGUCUUUGACUUCUCAUCAGAAUGUCUCUUUCCUUGGCUCUUGCUAUCAGUUGCUUUUCUUAUGCUCCACCUUCAUCUUUAAUUCCCUAUUCAGUUUUCCAACCUUAUAAAAAUGGGGGUUUUGUUUUUUAAGAAACUGGGGUGUGUUUUUCAAAAUGCUGCAUUGGUAAGAGCCUUGCAUCUUGUUACCCAUUUUAUCACCAAGGUAACACAAUGCUUGGCACAUACACAUAUUUGGGAGGCAGAAAGAGAAAGACAGCUACCAUCUGCUAGUUUGCUUCCCAAAUGUUUCCAACAGCUAGGUUGGCUGGGCCUGGAGCUGGAGCUGGCAGCCCAGUCUAGGUCUCCUAUAUGGGUAGUAGGGGACCCAAUUACUUGAGUUAGUACCAGCUACCUCCAGAGGUCCAUAAUGACAGGAAAGCUGGAAUUGGGAGCUGAAGCUGGACAUUGAACCAGGUUGUCCAGUGUGGCAGACAGGCUUCUCAACUGGAAUCUUAAUCACUAGGCCAGAUUCCCACACUAGCAGCUGUAUUUAUAGAAUGAAUCUAUGAAUGAAUGAGUGAAUGUACUUCUGUUCUGGUUCUCCAACUGUUUUCAGGUUUUUUCCAUGCUGGCAUCUAGUUAUCACUUCCAGAAUAACAUAGUAAAAAAAUCCCAUACAAUUGACAUAGUAGAUUUGAACAAGAUAUUUUAUAACAUUCUUAGGAAGAACAUGGGAGAAUAUGGACUCGCUAAUCUUGUGGUUAGGUGUGUUAGUAACUGAGUGACCUGUUACCCAAGUGCAGUGUUGCCUAGAGGAAGUAAAAGGGGAGAUGUCUUAGAAGUUUUAAUUUGGGUUCAGCAUAAGUAAAGAAUGUGAGCUCGUUUCUAGAAAUGCUGAGGUGAUCUUAUAUAUGAUUAGAAGAAUAAAUUCUUCUUUGUCAUGUGAUGCUCUACCUGGAAAGUUGCAUUCGGUAUACAGAUAAGUUACCUGGAACUCAUUCCAAGCUAAGGACUUAGGGGACGGUAGAAGGACUGGAAAUUGUGUUACAGGAGGAAUGCUUGGUGUAAAGGUGAAUGCUAAGCCUGAAGAAGAGACUUAUUUUGGAGUGGGUUGAGAGUGACUCUUAGAACCAGGUGAGCAUAUCGUUUAUUAUCCAAACCAGGACUCUGUGAAUGUGGAAGAGUGCACUGUUAAUUAGCAUGCUGGGAUGGUGAGCAUAAACAAGGACUUGCAAAUGGAAACAUAUGGUCACCUACUAAAAAUAAUCUACAAAUAUUUGAAAGUCUGUCAUAUGAAAGAAAGCUUAAACUUCUGUGGGAGAGAUAGGACUAGUGUAUACAAUGCUAAGAAGACAGCACCUUUUUCCUAAUAACGAGCUAAUUCAGCUGUUUGAAGUAUGCUUCAGGCUGUCUUCAAGUUGUGUUUGUCAUUCCUGCUGCUACCAAGAAUUUGUAUGGCUGCCCUUUCUAAUGAGUGAUGGUAUACAGGUUAGAUUGUUUUGGACCAAUGGGUCAGAUGUUUGCAUGUCUGCGUACGUGUUCUUUGUAAGUCUAUGCACAUGUUCGUUUUCUCAUGAAGUUGAACUUAACCAUUUAUGUACUCCUGGCCUUAUACUAGAAAAGGUUAGAAUUCAGGUCACUGAUGGCUGUUGCAUUGGAGCCAGUUCUGCCAUUGUUUGGUCUCUUGUGCCAGCUGCACAAUCCAUCCAUUCUGUAUUGCCCAGAGCUCCCUCCUUCCCAUUCAGCAGAGUGCAGGGCUGCCAGGGUUUUUGUCUCUUGCCUUUUUCACACUCCUAGCAUCUGUUCUCUCUCCUGGAGAUGUCAGAGUAGGGGCUUCUGCAGCUUCACCAGUUGUUGCCUUGUUCUCUGUGAUAUCCUUCACUGUUUCUACAUGUGUUUCCUUUAUGUUUUUAUCUCUGUGCCUUGGUUUCUCUGUUAAACAAAUCUCUUGUUCUUCACGGCAGAACAGUCACUUCAACUUAGAGGCAUGCAAGCUGUGUGGGUGCUGCACUCAUUCCUGGGCUUCUGCAGGGCGCUCAUUAUGUGCUUGAUUCUUUGGUGCCUUCCUUAGUGCUCUAGGGCAACUCUAAGAGGCAGAUGUGACUUUGUGCAUUUUGCAGAGGGGUUUGGAAAAGAUAAGUAAUUUGCCUGGGGGACCCAGACAUUUGGUGCCUGGCUAGGUUUUGUUUUAAGCAUCCGAGUAUACUGAGGAGAAGUACAGAGGGUAAUGAGAGUAGGUGGCCAUUGACUUUGGGAGCAGGGAAACCUGUGGCUGGAAAAGGGCAGGGGUGCAGCCUUGGCAGGGGACUGAGGGAAGAGUGUGUGAGAAGUCUCUGAUCCUUGAAAGUUCAGAAAAAAUCCAGUGCAUGUGUGAAACAGGGAUGGGGGAAAUGGGGGGGGGGGGUGUGGCUGUGGAGAAGGGAGAUAGAGAGGCUUGAUGUAGGAUUGGAGACUUAGGGGUUAGACUGAUGUCUUGGUGAUUUACUCUUAGAACAAGAUAUUUUUAUUCAAUUUUGAUUUUUCAUUUAUUUUUGAAUAGGUAAAACAAACACAUAAUUCAAAAGAUGUUAAGGCGAAAGCACUGUCUUGUCCUUCCCAUCUGUUUUCCCUUCACCCAGUCCCUUGGCCUGGAUUCUUCCAUAGCUGUUCUAUGUACAUACAGGCAGAUUCAUAGUUACUAUUUUCCUCAUCUUUUUUUAUUUAACAUAAAUAUCAAAAUAUUAUACCAGCUGUUCUACUUACCCUUGCUUUUCUCAGUUAACAUAUUUUAGAUGCCAUUCCAUGGAGGUGUAAAAAGGUCCACUUCAUUCUUUGUAUGGCUACAUUAUAUUCCAUUUUAAGUGUAUACUCUAACUUCGAUAAUCAGUUUAUGGGAAGUGGAAAACAGAUUGUUGGGGGAGGGGCAGUGAUGCAGGAGGAAGAUAACUAAUCAGCCAUCAGUAGUUCAGGCAGAGGUGACUCGGACUUGGAUUCAGACAGUGGCUGUGUAGAUAGAGAUUGAGAGACUGUAUGUAAAGAGAGAUGUAGCGCUAAGGAGCAGGAAGAUCUGUUGAUUGAUUGGAUAUUAGGGGUGAAGUUGAGGGAUGGCUCCUAGCAUUUCUGUCUUGAGCAUUUGGGUGUAUGGUAAUAUCAUUUGGCAAAUCAGUUAACACUAGAAAGAGAGCAAGUUGAAUUCAAUUUUACACCUCGAAUUUAGGGCAUUGGUGACAGAGGCAGGUGAAGAUGUGGAGUUAUCAUCUGACUCUCUAAAUCUGGAGCUCAGGAGAGACAGAUGUAAGUAUUAAUAUAUUAAUGUAGGACAUCCUGUACAGGUGAUGUACAUGACACUGUGUGAUGUACAUGAGGUCGUAGAGUGAUAUACAUUUACACUCACAGUAAUUGGAACUUUGGGAAUGGUUGAUAUCCUGGUCACUGACCUGGCUAAGAUGUGAAUGUGGUAGAACAAGAUUCAAUUUUAUAUAUAUAUUAAAAAAAACCUACACAGUUCUGUAAAGUUUGUUACAAAAGCCCACUAAAAGAGUUUGUGGAGAUUAUUAAGUAAGCGGUUUAAUACACCUUUACUGUUCUGUCCAGCAAUCCCACUCCUAGAUUUUCCUCAAGAGAAUCGAAGACAGAUGCCCACCAAUCACUGAAUACUUAGUAGUAAAAAGGAGCAAGCUGUUGAUACAUUCAACAACACGGAUGAAUCUUGAAUGUAUUAUGGUAAAUUAAUUUUUCUCCAGUUUUUAUUAUUAUCCCCUCAGACCCUGUAGAUGUUUUUUCCUCUAGUUACCCAUUCCUCUCAUGAAAUUUUACUAUGUGCCUGGCCUCAUGGAGGACCCAGACCCUUGUAAAAACACAUAGGAACACAUUUCCAUAUCCCGGGGGCAGUAUCAACCUCCCUCGCCUCUCCUAACCUUCCCUACAUACUCAGAGUACCUGGGCUAAGCGAAGAAACCAAAUUCAAGUGGUUAUAUACUGGAUGAUUCACUGUAUAUAACAUUCUUGAAAAGGAAAACUACAGGAUCAAAGAACAGAUUAGCAGUUGAUAGGGGUAGAGGGAGCAAUUGACCAUGGUAGGGGAAGGAAGGAAGUUUUGGAGAGCAUGGAAAUAAAUGUUCUCUGUCUUGAUUGAGGUGGUGGUUUUACAGUAGUGUGCAUUUGUCAGAAUUAAUUGAACUUUACUCUCCCAAAGAGUAAAUUUUAUGGUAUUUAAUUAUACUUUAAUAAAUCUGACUUUCCCAAACAAGUUGUCCUGUUUCAAACCUGGAAUGGGUUUGGUGGGUGAGAAGAUUGGACGCUUCAGAAACCGAUCAUUUUGGAAUCUUCCAUUACAAAGUGUGUUCAAUAUGCUGAGACUCCUAAAUAAAGUUACAAAUAACGCCAUGAAAAUCCUUGUGGAAAAGAGUAGAGUGCAUAAUGAGGAACCACAGGGCAGUGAAAAGACAGUGUAAAUGACCAUUGCCUCAGGAGUGUAAGGGUUUGAUGGCCCAGCCUCCUGGGGGCAGAGGCUGGUCUGCAUUAAACCAUAUCUGAAGUCCUAGCUUUUCCUUGGGAGUGACUAAAAACAGGUUGAGAAUUAAUUUGUAAAAAGAGAAAGAACAGAGGAAAAGCUUCAGCUUCUUAUCAGGAGUUGGCUUAUUGGUUUGAUGUUUUGUAAAAGUUCUCAAGCUCCCAUGGCAUCCAGAAGGGGGAAAAAAGCUUUUGUGCUUCAUUUGCCUUUUUAUAGUGAAAGCUGGGAUUUUUCUCCCUUAUUGCAGGCUCUCACUGAAGUAUGUUAUCAUCUUGUAUCAAGAGGAGUCUGAGGAAGCAGGGGUGGUGGAAAUACAGGUUUUGCUUUUGGAAUACCUUUAAGAAAGGUAUUUGAAUGUGUAAACAUUGCCAAGAAAUAGAGUUUCCUCCUGUGUUAAAGCUCUUGUGUGUAAUCAGUGGAUGGCAUCUGCUUCUGAGCUGAAGUGGUAUAUUUUAAAAGCUCUGGUGACAAAUGAACCAUUUUUUCUUUCAAAAGCCUUUACUGAAUUGCCAUAUAAUUUGGGGGAGGUUCCUGGCGAGUGAUGUAUAGAAAAUUCUGCUGCUUGUAGUUUUAUACUACAGUCAUAGGUAUAGAGGUUGAAGUAAAGGCUGUUAACUGAUGCAGCUAUUGGGAACCCCAAUUUAUGGACUAUAUCUCUGUGUAUCUGAAAGCCAUGAAGAAGAUAAAACUGACUUCAUUAAUCAUAGAGAGACAGGCAUCUUGCAGCACCUAUUAAUCACUGACAGUUACAGCAUACCUUCUGAAGUUAGCGAGUACUAUCUCUAGGUACAUAGAGAAUACAAAUACAUCACACUUGCAGCUGGUCUGCUAAUACAUCAUUGGUUCCCUAACCUGUCACCUGCCACAAUUACCACAGGCAGUUUUGUAAAACUGAGCACCACUGACCUUGACUUUAGUUUGUACUGUACUGUUACUCCUGAGUCACUAUAUACAGACCCACUCAAUGUUUGGGGAGUUAUGCUCCGCCUCUUUGAGGGUGGAGUGUGUACAUAUACCUACUCAGUAUUUUUAUAAGCUGGCAGUGGAUGGACAACUGGAAAUCAAAAUUAAAGCAAUAUCAUUAUAAUAACUUCAAGAAAGGAAAUAUUUAGAUAGAAACCUAACCAAACAUGUAUUGAAGCCAUAUUCUGAAAACUCAAAAAAUGCUGAUGAAAGAAAUCAAUGAAUACUUAAAUAAAUGGGGAGAUACAUUCAUGGAUUAGAAUCCUACACAUAGGGGACAGCAUUGUGGGAUAGUGGUUUAAGCUGCUGCCUGUGACACUGGCAUCCCGUAUAGCUGGUUUGAGUCCCAGCUGUUCCACUUCCAAUCCAGCUCCCUGCUAAUGUGCCUGGGAAAGCAGCAGAAGAUGGCCCAAGUUCUUGGGCCUCUGAAUCUAUGUGGGAGACCUGGAUGGAAUUCCAGGCUCCUGGCUUCAGCCUGACCUAGCCCUGACCAUUGCUUGCAGUCAUUUGGGGAGUGUACCAGCAAAUGGAAGAUCUCUCUAUAUGUAUCUCCCUCUCUCUCUGUAACUGUGCCUUUCAAAUAAAUAAAUAAAUCUUAAAAAAAAAAAAAAUCCUAAGUGUACUAAAGGUAUCAGUUUUCCCAAAUUAAAAAUAAAAAUCUUAGUAUUGUUUAAUUUUUUAAAAAUUAUUUUCAUUUUAUUUGAAAGGCAGACAGACACAGAGAAAAAGAUGAGAAAGAUCUUUUGUCUGCUGGUUCAUUCACUAAAUACUUACAACAGCCAGAGUUGGGCUAGGCUGAAGCUGGGUAGAGGGAACUCCAUCUGAGUCUCUCAGUUGCAUGGCAGGGACCCAUGUACUUGAGCCAUCACUUGCUGCCUUCCAGGGUGCACAUCAGCAGGAACCUGGAAUUGGGAGCAGAGCCAGGUCUUGAACCCAAAGCCCUCUGAUGUGGAACAUGGACAUCCCUAGCAGCAUUUUGGCUCCUGUGUCAAAUGCCUGCCUAUCAGUGGGAUUUUUAUAGAUACAGAUAGGCUAAUUCUAAAAUUUAUAUGAAAAGGUAAAAAUUAGAAUAAAGAAUUGUGAAAAUGAAGAAUGAAGUUGGAGAAGUCACAUUAUCCAAUGUUAAGGCUUUGUGGGGACUGGAUUAAGAUGGUGAAGUAGGGAGGGAGCUUAUUGCUCUAGUCCAGGAGAAGAUGGUUUAAAAAAUGUGGCGAUAGUACAGUUUCAGGGAAGAAUUAGGGAGAAAAUGGCAGAGGAAACUCCAUGCAAAUUAGAGGAACAUAGUGGACCUAUGUGAAGGGUGUGGGCACGCACAAAUCAGGAUCCUAGCAGUCGAGAGCCUCCGCACCAGCUUUGGAGAGAGGUGAGGCCAGAUUGCAGCAGCCGAAUCCACUGGUGAUAAAGCUACAGGAAAAGCCAGGAGAGAAUCUGGCAUGGAGCCCUGUGGGGGUUAGUGUAUCUGCCAAACUAGAGGAGGAAAAAAAGGGGGGGGGGUCAUGUUUCUCUCUCCCCAAUCACGCAACAGCAUCCUGUAACAAGUCGAUAGAGAGUGGGUGCCAUUUUGGACAUACCUAAUACCUGUGCCAGCUCAUGUCUGCACCCAGCAACCAGCUGAGCGGAGACUCCUGAGUCUGGCAGGGAGAACUGAUGGUGGGAGGGUGGGGGUCGGGUGCUUGUGACUGUGGGAGGCUUGUGUGCCAGGACUGUGAAAACACUGAGGCUGUGUGGGAAGACUCGAUGUAUCAGGGACUUUGAGCAGUCACUAUGGGAGGCUCCAUACACUCAGGGCUCCCUGGUUCCCUGGUGAGGGACAUUUCUGGGGAAUCUGCUUACACGGAGGACUGCACAGAUCCUUUGUGGGUCCUUGUAGAAGUGCAGAUGAAUAUUAUACCCACUGGGGCUAGCGCCCAGGCACUGGUCUCCUUUGAGAAGAGAAAAUGAGCUGAGUCUACACCAACAGAAGAAAAACCUCCCCUCUGAUCAGAAAAAAAAUUAAGAGAUUUACUAUGCCCAACCUGGUUGUCACCUUAACACUCCCUUCACCCUGGAGUACUGAGCAGAGCUCCCUGGCCACACCCACCACAUGCCUCCAGGUGCUCCACUAAUCCACAGACAUUGUCCGAAGAUGAAAGUUGCCACAGAAAAAAAAAAAAAAAAAGAAGAAGAAGAAGAAGAAACUAAUGGCAUUUGUUCCCACAAAUGCUGAAUAAUAAACACACCAAUUCAAGAAACAAGAAUCAGGAACACAACAUCAUGCCCCCAAAAUAAUACGACGCUUCAUUACUAGAUUGUGAAGAUGAAGAGUUUGAAAAAAUGCAAGAAAUGGAAUUCAAAAAAUUGAUGAUUACAUAGAAGUAAUCAGAAGCAAUGCACAAACCAAUGAAAUCCGUACAUGAUGUGAAAGAAAUUUUCUCUCACGAAAUUGAGAUCUUAAAGAGAAAGCGAACUGAAAUCUUGGAAAUGAAGAAUUCAAUAGAACAAAUAAAAAUACACUAGAAAGUCUUAACAACAGAAUUGGUGAAGCAGAAGAAAGAAUAUCCGACUUAGAAGACAAAUUGCAGGAAACUAUACAGUCAGACAAAAAACAAGAAAGAGGAAAUUAGAAAACUUAAAAACACUGUUGGUAGUAAUCUACAGGAUACUAUCAAAUGACCUAACAUAUGGGUUCUAGGAGUUCCUGAAGGCAUGGAAAGGGAGAAAGGAUUAGAAGGCCUGUUUAGUGAAAUAAUAACAGGAAGCUUCCCUAAUUUGGAGAAAGAACAGGACAUGCAAGUACGGGAAGCACAUAGAACUCCUAAUAGACAUAACCAGAAGAGAUCUUCACCACAACACAUUGUAAUCAAACUCUCCACAGUAGAACAUAAAGAAAAGAUUCUAAAAUGUGAAGGAGAGAAAUGCUGGGUUACUUUCAGAGGAUCUCUAAUUAGACUCACAGCCGAAGGAACCUCGAAGGCUAGGAGAGAAUGGCAAGAUAUAUUCCAAGACUUAAGAGAAAUGAACUGUCAACCCAGAAUACUGUACCCUGCAAAGCACUAAUUUAUGAAUGCAGGUGAAAUAAAGAUAUUCCAAGAUGAACAGAAAUUGAAAGAAUUUGUCACCAUCUGUCCAUCCUUGCAAAAGAUGUUUAAGUAUGUGUUACACACAGAAACAUGGUCAUCACUGUGAAAGAUGCUAAAGGAACUAAAUCUCCCAGUAAGAGCACAAAGGAAAUCCAAGGUAAAAGUAGGAAUAUUUAUGAAAAAAAGGCAGGGCAAAAUCAUUACUUAUCAAUAGUCACUUUGAUUGUAAAUGGCUUCAACUCUCCAGUUAAAAGACACAGACUGGCUGAAUGGAUUAAAAAACAAAACGUAUUUAUUUGCUGCCUACAAGAAACAAAUCUCACCAACAAAGAUAAUGCAGACUCAAAGUGAAAGGAUGGAAAAAGAUAAUCCAUUCUAAUAGAAACCAAAAAAGAGCUGAUGUAGCCAUCCUAAAAUAAGACAAAAUAGACUUUAACACAAAACCUAUUAAAAGAGACAAAGAAGGGCACUAUGUAAUGAUUAAGGGAUCAAUUCAACAGGAAGAUAUAACUGUUAUAAAUGUAUGUGUACCUAAUUAUAGGGCAUCUGUUUAUUUAAAAGAAAUGUUAAGGAAUCUAAAGGAAGGCAUAGACUCAAAUACAGUAGUAAUGGGGGACUUCAGUACCCCACUCUCAGCAAAGGACAGAUAACUAGAUGGAAAAUCCGCGAGGAAACAGCAGGGUAACUGUUGUGUAUGAAGUUUGUAAAGCUGUAUAGUUCUGCAUACAUUCCUAUGGACUUACUUCUAAGGGUACAGUUUAAAAACUUGCCAUAGGGUCCCAAAUCCCCUUAAGCUGGUUGGUAAAAAAUACCACCUGAAGUGUUAAAGUGAUCAUAUGGAUAGGAUUAAGGGUCUGGUAAUACUAAUACAUUGAAUUAAAAUUAUGUGAAUGCUCCAACGUGGGAAGCAGUCCACACAGCAGACUCACAGAAUGAUAAUUGCUCUAAAUAGCACUCUGACCUCAGAAUCAGCCCUUAAGUCAUUCUGGUCUAGCUGAAAAGCCCAUGAGAGCAUUUCAGGCAUGGAAAACAAAGACACUGAGGUAAAAAAAAAAAAAAAAUGUCCUACCUGAAGGAUCUCAGUGGCUGAGACCCCAGUGGAAAGAAAGGAGGUACUUUUCUCUGAAGGGAGGAGAAUAACUUCCACUUUGCUUAUGGCUUUGUCUAAAUACUGAUGGAAUUCGUGGAUUCAAAAGGCUUCCAUAGCCUAGGCAGCUUACAUCAAGAGCCUCAGGUGAUCACUGACGUCAUACCUAAGUGUGCUAAUUGUUAAAUUAACAAAAGUCACUAUGCACUAACUUCCAAUGCAGGACCUCUGUCCUCAGAAAGUUGUAUUAUAACUAUGUCUAAGUACUCCCAAAAGAUGUAUCAUUCUUGUGGGCUUUGUUAAAGUUAAUUAAGUUUCUUAAAAAAAAAAAAAAGUGAAAUUAACUUCAAGAUGCAAUGAAUUUGAUCAGCUCUUGUCUUGACUGUUGAGGAACAGGUUUUGUUUUUAGUUGAUUGGUUUUUUACCAUGCAAAUUGUUGAACUCUUAGUAUAGAGUUGGUCUUCAGUGUAUAAAGUUAAUCGAAAGUGGAUCUUAGUGGUGAAUGGGACUGGAAAUGGGAGAGGGAGGAGGGGGUGGGGUGGGAGAGUGGGUAGGAAGGUGGAUAUAAUGGGGAGAAUCACUGUAUUCCUAAAGUUGUACUUAGGAAAUGUAUGAAGUUUGUAUUCCCUAAAUAAAAGAUUUCUUUUGGGGGGAAAAAUUAAAAAAAAAAAAAGAUUUUGUGAGCCUAGGGAAACGGUGUAGGUCAGAGUUCUCCAGGGAAGCAGAAUGUAUACAUACAUAUGUACGUACAUACAUACAUGAGUAUAUGAAUUGGCUCACAUACCUGUGGAGUUUGGCAAGUCCAAAAUCUGCAGGGUAGGUAAGCAGGUGAGUCAGAAUGUGAUCUGCAGACAGAAUUCCUUCUUCCUAUGGGAUGUCAGUUUUUUUCUCUUCAAGCCUCCUGCUGCAUGCACGAGGCCCACCCACAUUUUGAAGGGCUCUCUGCUAUGCUCAGAAUGUGCUUAUUUAAAUUUUAAUCACAUCUAAAAACUACAUACACAGCAAUAUCUAAACUAGUGUUUGACCACAUAUUUGGGUUCUCCAGCCUAAGCAGAGGACACAUAAAAUCAACCUGCACAACAGUGGAGUCAGUCUGAUCACACAGUCAGGGGGCACAUACUGGCAUGCCCAGGAUGAAUCUGUACUGUAUGGACAGUUGAUUUGUGAAAAAGUUCGACUGCAGUUACAGAAGAAAGGAUAUUCUUUUUUUUUUUUUUUCUGACAGGCAUAGUGGACAGUGAGAGAGAGAGACAGAGAGAAAGGUCUUCCUUUGCCGUUGGUUCACCCUCCAAUGGCUGCCGCUGCAGCCGGCGCACCGCGCUGAUCCGAUGGCAGGAGCCAGGAUCCAGGUGCUUUUCCUGGUCUCCCAUGGGGUGCAGGGCCCAAGCACCUGGGCCAUCGUCCACUGCACUCCCUGGCCAUAGCAGAGAGCUGGCCUGGAAGAGGGGCAACCGGGACAGAAUCCGGCGCCCCGACUGGGACUAGAACCCGGUGUGCCGGCGCCGCAAGGUGGAGGAUUAGCCUAUUGAGCCACGGCGCCGGCCGGAAAGGAUAUUAUUUUCAAUAGAUGGUACUGAAUAAUUGAAUAUCUUAUGCAAAAAAUAACCCUGCAUAUGUACUUCACACAUUAUUCACAGAUGAACUCAGGGUUGAUCACAGAUGUAAAUGUGAAAUUUCAAAACUUUUUGAGAAAAUAUCAGAAAUAAUCUUUUAUUUAUUUUUUUGACAGGCAGAGUGGACAGUGAGAGAGAGAGACAGAGAGAAAGGUCUUCCUUUGCCGUUGGUUCACCCUCCAAUGGCCGCCGCGGCUGGCGCACUGUGGCCGGCACACCGCGCUGAUCCGAUGGCAGGAGCCAGGUACUUCUCCUGGUCUCCCAUGCGGGUGCAGGGCCCAAGCACUUGGGCCAUCCUCCACUGCACUCCCUGGCCACAGCAGAGAGCUGGCCUGGAAGAGGGGCAACCGGGACAGAAUCCGGCAUCCCGACUGGGACUAGAACCCGGUGUGCUGGUGCUGCAAGGCGGAGGAUUAGCCUAGUGAGCCUUGGCGCCAGCCAGAAAUAAUCUUCAUGAACUUUUGGUAGGCAGAAAGUUCUUAGACAUGAUACCAAAGGGAUGAUUCAUAAAACAAAGCGGUAACUUAGACUUCAUCAAAAUGAAAUAUUUUCAGGAAAGUUGGUGCUAAGAGAAUAAGAUUGAACAUAUUUUUGUGUGAUUGUAGGCUGUUCAUUUCCCUUUCCUUUGAAGUUCCUGUGGUGGUCCUUCCCUCUCCUCCCUCCCUCCCUCCCUUCCUUGUGGUUACUCAUUAUUUGUUUGCUAGUCUCCUGUUGAUUCUUAGAUGUUCCUUAUAUGUUUUUGACACAAAUUUUUGAGGUUUUCUUUUUUACUGUCUUUAUGCAGUUAUCUGAUGAAUGGCAAUUCUUAAGUCAGAUUUAUAUUCAUAUUGCUUCACUUAUGUUUGUGUAUUUUUAAAAGAUUAUUUACUUACUUGAGAGGUAGAGUUAGAGGAGAGACAGAGAUAAAGAUCUUCACCUGCUGAUUCACUCCCGCAAAAGGCCACAAGGACCAGGGCAGGGCAAGGUUGAAGCCAGGAUCCAGGAAUUCCAUAUGGUCUCCUAUGUGGUUGCAGGGACCUAAUCACUUGGGCCCUCUUCUGCUGCCUUCCCAGGCACAUUAGCAAGAAGCUGGAUAGGAGGUGGAGCAGCCGGGACUGGAACUGGCUCCCAAAUGGAAUGCUGGCAUCACAAGUUGGGGUUAAAGAUGCUGCACCACGGUGACAGUCUCUGUAUUUUUUUUCCCCAGAAACCUGUAUCCUGAGGUCAUAAAGUAUUCUGUUAUGCUUGCAAACCUUUAGAGACUUGCUUUUCACAUUUAGAUCUUCAGAUCACUAGGACUUAACUUUUGAGUGUGGAGUGUGGGGUUAGACUGCCUUUCUUAUACCCCUGUAUGUCUGCCUUGGCAUCACAGUGCUGUGUAUUGAAAAGUCUCACCUUUCCCUUGGAGCAGCAGUGUCACUUCUCCCACAUCAGUUUCUAUCAAGUGUCCAUUUUUGAGAGGGUCUAACUUUGUGCUGCUUUAUUCUGUUCAGGGUGUUAGUUUUCUUUCAUUCUUCUUCUUUUUUUUUUUUUUUUUUUGGUUGAUGUCACAUUGUCUUACAUAUUGUAGUUUUAUAACAGGUCUUGAUAUUUGGUAGGGAAAGUCUGCUAGAUUAUUUCUAUGAAGACAGUGCUAUCAUUUACAAAUAAUGACACUUUUGUUCUUCCUUGCUUAUCCUUAAUCCUUUUAUUUCUCUUUCCUGCUAUACAGUACCAGCAUAAACUUGGAAUACAGUGUUGAAUUGAAGUAGUAAUAAUGGGCAUCUUUGUUUUGUUCUAAAUCCUACAGGGAGUGCUUUCAAUGUAAAUAGGUAUUUUGUAGUAAAAAUAAAAAUCAGGUUAAGGAAGUCCCCUUUUGUUCCUAGCAUACGAAGAAGUAUUCUUUUCCCAGAGUAAAUGCUUGUUGAAUUUUGUCAAAGAAGUGUUCUGUUCCUUUUGUGAUAACCAAGUAGUUUUUUUUCUGUGAACAAUAUGUUAUAUUUAAUUCAUUAAUUGAUAUUCUAGUGUUAAAACAACCUUGCAUUCCUGGUCUAAACCCAGAUUGAUCAUAAAUUAUUAUUACUGUUAUUUUUAUUGAACUUGCUCUAGGAUUUGAUUCAUCAAUAUUUUAUUAUUACUAUUUUUUUCUUAUUGAAAAUGCCAGUGAUAUAAGAUGCAUCUCUGUAUUUCAGAAAUGUUGCUUUCAUUUUUUAAUUGGCUAAUGAUAAUUAUGAAGUGCCAGAUAUUGUUAAGAUGUAUUCUGGUUGUAGAGAUGUUGAAGUGUUCAAAGUGUGUGUCUUAAUGCCAAUUAAGUGCUCUGUUGUUCUGUGGUUUGUAUCUAUGUUCUUAAGUGAGCUUGACCUGCCAUUUUCCUUCCUCAUUCUUUCCUGGUUGGUGUUAUACCCUAUGAAAAAAUGAGUUGGGGAAUGUGACUAUAAGGCCAAAAAUCUAAUAGUCAUUCUUGUUUCUUUUCUUUCCUCUUAUUCUUGGCCCUGAGUGACCAUAAAGAAUAGAGAGCUUUGUCAAGGGGUGAUGGAUGUAUUAGGGUGAAUGAAAAAUAGACAUGUUGUUUUAGGCCACUGAGAUUUUAAGCUUGUUUGUGGCCAUAGAAUAACCUAGCUAUCCUGAUAUAUUUUAUUAUACCCUAUACAUACACACAUGCACAUUUAUAUAUUUGUGUGGCACCACAUAAUUGCCCUACCCCGGCCACAGUAUGUCAGUUCUAAGAGCAAGGACUUUGUUUUGUUUCUCCUCUAUCUCUGUUAUAUAGGUACUUAAUACAUAUGUGUUAAUACUGUGCUGUAGGAACUAGGGUCUGUUAGGAGGUAUCCAUAGGCAAGAAGUAGAUGUUAAACAAAUACUACUCUAAAAUGCAAACCAUGCCCUGGUCUAACCUGCAUUAGAGCCUGAGGUCACUGAUUAGAAGUGGAGGUUCCUGGGGACCAUGUUAAUGGCAUAGAUUAAGUCAGCUACUGUGACACCAGCAUCCCAUAUCAGAGCUGAUCUGAGUACCAGCUGCUCCACUUCCAAUUCAGCUCCCUGCUAAUUUGCCUGGAAAAGCAGCACAAGAUGGCUCAAAUGCUUGGGCCCCUUCUACUCAUGUGGGAAACAUGGGCCUGGUUUGGCCUGGCCCAGCCACAACCAUUGUGGCCAUUUGGGGAAUAAACCAGCAAAUGGAAUAUCAUUCUUUACCUCUAUUACUCUGCCUUUCAAAUAAAUUAAAAAAAAAAAAUCAAAAAAAAAAUUUUUUUUUUUGGAAGUGGAAAUUCCUAUGCCUUGCUCAAGGCCCACUAAGGUGGAAUUUUUGGAUACGGGAUCUGGCACUCUUUAAGUUUUUCAAAGAUUUAUUUAUUUAUUAGAGAGGGAGAGGGAAAGGGGGAGAGAGAAAUAUAUAUAUAUCUUCUGUCUGGGGAUUGGUCCACUCCCAAAUGCUCAUGGAAGCAUAUAGAAGCUUAUAGAAGGCUGGGCCCAGGAUGAAGCCACUAGCCAGAAACUCCAUCUGGAUCUCCCGCAUGGGCAGCAGGGGUCCAAGCACUUGGGCCAUCUUUGGCUGCCUUCGAAGGUAUAUUAAUAGGGAGCUGGAUCAGAAGUGGAACAGAUGGGACUUGAACCUGUGCUCCAGUAUGGGAUGCUGGUGCUGCAAAGGGCAAGUUGAUCCACUGUGCCACAACACUGGCUACUUGGAAUGUUCUUUUUUGGGUAGUUAUUGCAAUGAUUCUUCCCUAUGUAAGAUUUGAGACGACUGCUUCUAGGGUAGCAUGGUCGCAUGCUACCAGUAGAGAGGGAAAGUGGGAAGCAGAUUUGCCUCACUAUUACAGUAGAAGGAUUCUGUGUCACAUAGGAGUCAUAGGUGUCAACUGUUAGAACUCAGUGCUUUCAAAAAUGCACAACAGCACAUCAUGUGGUAGUGUUUUGAAUAAGCAGGUAGAAUUAUAGUUUGCUAUAAUACGGAUACAGCUAUUGGGGAGAACUUGUAAAAGCAGCAUAGAAAAAGGAAAAAUAAGUUGCUUUUUUGAGUUAAGCCUGUCAUUGCUUCCCUUACUGUUGUCAUAAAGGCUUCAUCAUAAAAGCGCCAGCAUUCACUGAGUUAUUGCUCUAGGCCUGACACUGCGCUGAGAGCCACGACCUCAGAGCCAGACUGCCUGCCUUCACAUUUGGCUUGCCUGCUUCGUGACUGCUUGUGACCUCUCUGUGCCCGUUUCCUCAAUGAAAGCUAAUAACUUGCACCCACUCCACGGUGUUGUUUGGGGAGUGAAACUGGAUAGUCUGCUCCUAGUAACAGUUUCUAGUGUUACGUAGCAUUUACUGUGUUCCACAGGCUGUUCUAAACAUUGACUACAGAUUAUUUAAUCCUCACAAAUCUUUGAGGGUGUAACCCCAUUUUUUACUGAGCCUUAGGAAGACAAAGGGUAGCAACCAAACCAUUCUAGAAUUGCAGACUACUUUUAUUGAAGUGGCAGAAUCUUAACUGUGAGGAUCGACAGGUUUUGGGGAACCACAGGGGGCCCAGGAACAGAAGGAGAGAGGGACUUCUUAAGGGCCUCAAGGCUGAUUUCCACCACCCCUGCAUUGCUCAAUUCAGGCUGCCUUAUGGAACCCCAUUGAUGAGGGCGUUCCCAGCAGACGCUUAGUUUAGAGGCUUCAGUCUGGGCUGAGGGUGCCAGCAAAUCAGUGAUGAGAGCCCUCUCCCUUGGCCGGCAGAUGGCUAUCUUCUUUGUGUCUUGCUGUUUGGCUUCUCCUCCUUGGGCCACACUCAAACCAGAAAGCCCAGGUGAGCCCCCGGUGUUUAUUGUAUAGCGACACUAGUCCUGUUAGGUCCCUGCCCUACCCUGUGACAUCAUUUGACUUCAGUUGCCUCCUGAAGAUCUUGUCUCCCACCACUGUCAUUUUGGGAAGUAGGGCUUCAACAUACAGAUUUGGAGGAGCACAGUCCACAGUGCCUUCCCAGCACCACUCCAAGGAGCAAAUACAGCAUCCUCUAUGCCUACUCAGGGGCUCCAGCAUCUUCAGGCAAGUGUCAGAGAGACAGCCAAAUGGUCACCAGGUGGCUACGGUCACCCGGGUGUCCCCGGCACUGGGCUUCCUCCUGGCCUCUGGCGUGUACGCAGGUGGCGGUCGCAUGUCUGCCUGUGUCCUGGGAGGUGUGUGGAGUUACGUAGGUGCUCGAUUCUGACACCUUCGUGUCAUUCAUUUCUAAACAAACAGACGCUGUCUAGUGGUCCUUCCUUGAAUGAAUACUGACUUAUCCCACUGUUGACCAGGCCCUGCCUUCACAGAGGAGAUGCUAGUGAGGGACACAUGGCUAACACGUACACCAAGAAACACGUGCCUGGGAGCUGGUAAGCUGGGAAGGAAGAGUGUGGAGGGGGAGGGGACCAAGGAUUGGUAGGUGGGAGGGGCCCUGUUUUAGAGCAGGGCUAGGAAAGCAGGGACAGGAGCCAGGGAAGUAGCUAUGAAAGGAACAUUCUGGACGAGGGGUUGUAAUUCCAAACACAAAGGCCCCCCAGUUGGAAUAUUCUUGGCAAGUGGGUUACAAGUGAUAGCCCCAGGUUCUGGGAUCGUAUUGCCUGGAAUGUACUAUGAAUGUUGAGUGUGUUAUUCACGGGACUAUAGUCCAGAUUUGACUGUGGUAAACAGCAGUUUCCUGCCCCAAAUGUUGUUUUGUUGUGGUUGUCGUUGGAAUUUCAGUUGUUGCAGGGAUCCGCUUGCCACCCUCUUCUCCCUUUAAAAUCAAAGUGUCUGUUGGGUUUUGUGACUCAGCCUUUGGUUGUUGCACACCAACAGUAACUGUGCUUAUUUGAGUUUCCCACCAAACUGCUGAUGGGAAGAAGAAGGCACCUGGGAGGGGUGUGUGUGCUUUUGCAGGCCUUGCAGAAAGGUUACAUUCUAUCUUGUUUUCUCCUGAAGACCCCUGCCAGUUUUGCUCUUGCAAAGAACACAUUUGUGCCUAUUUUAAUAUCGAAUGAUUCGGGGAGCCAGGCUGUGUCUGCUCUGUGGGUUUGCAUGUGCUCAGUCCUGGCCUGCACCAGCAUGAGAAGCCCUGGCACAGAGCCAUGGGGCGUACGUUCUGGCUGACGUUGGGCUGCAAGCUCCUGUUACCCAAGGGCACAUGGGUGUGAGCUGGGUGGUUUUACUGUGAUGGAAAACACAAAAAUGUUGAACUUCCCUCCAUAAAUUAUAUGUAAAGUAAAAUCCAAGAAAGUGCAGUUUUUUUUCUCAAACAAGCAAUGUCAAGAGAAGCCUACUGGGGCUGGCGCUGUAGCAUAGCAGGUUAACACUGACCUGAAGCGCCGGGCAUGCCAUAUGGGCGCCAGUUCUAGUCCCGGCUGCUCCUUUUCCAAUCCAGCUUCCUACUAUGGCCUGGGAAAGCAGUGGAAGAUGGCCAAAUUCCUUGGGCCCCUGUACCUGCAUAGGAGACCUGGAAGAAGCUCCUGGUUCCUGGCUUCAGAUCAGCGCAGCUCUGGCCAUUGGGGCCAAUUGGGGAGUGACCCAGUGGAUAGAAGACACUCUCUCCCUCCCUCCCUCCCUCCGCCCUCCCCCUCCCCUCCUCUCCUCUCCUCUCUCCUCUCUCUCUCUCCUCUCUCUUCUUUCUCUGUGUAACUCUUUCAAGUAAAUAAAAUAAGAAUUUUUUUUAAAAAAGCUGGCCGGCGCCACGGCUCACUAGGCUAAUCCUCCGCCUUGCGGCGCUGGCACACCGGGUUCUAGUCCCGGUCGAGGGGCCAGAUUCUGUCCCGGUUGCCCCUCUUCCAGGCCAGCUCUCUGCUGUGGCCAGGGAGUGCAGUGGAGGAUGGCCCAAGUCCUUGGGCCCUGCAGCCCAUGGGAGACCAGGAUAAGCACCUGGCUCCUGCCAUUGGAUCAGCGCGGUGCACUGGCGGCGGCGGCCAUUGGAGAGUGAACCAACGACAAAGGAAGACUUUUCUCUGUCUCUCUCUCUCUCACUGUCCAUUCUGCCUGUCCAAAAAAAAAAAAAAAAAGAGAGAGAGAGAGAAGCCUAUAAAAUCCCGUGUCCUGUCAAGAAUGAGUGGUGAAAUUCAUCCUGUCCCCAUCAGAGACAAUCACCAGGUGGAAGUUGUAUCCACAGGCAUAUUCCCCAGGUUACUUGUGUUUGGCUUUGGAAUUCAUAUGACACCCACUUUUGCACACUGAUUUUCUUUAUAAAUUGUUUUGAAUUAAUGUUAAAAUUAACUUGGCAUUCUGAAUAUUGAGUAUAGAUGACUCAGGUUUGGUCUCUGGGGUCAGAAGACAUUCAAAUUCAUCAACAUUUUGCCAGAAAAACUGGAUCAAGAAUGGCCUAAUGCAGGGUCCAUGCCACUCCCCUCUGCUUCUGUGACUGCUGCAGCAGAACCCAUUGCAACCACGGGCUCUGGGAAGUCCUGACUAACUGAUUAGAGUUGCCUAGAGAUGAAACUCAUUUGCCAACCCCAUCCUGUUCAGCAUAGAUGAACCUCAUUUGGAUUAUUGGGAAACAGUGAUAAAGUAGUGGACUCUGAUUAAGUUUCGUAUGUUCUGUAGUAACAUACAAACAUUUUGGGUCAAGAAUUGUGUUAAAUUUCAUUUUUAGAAUAUUUAAUGAAACGUCUAAAGUUUUUACAAAAAUUGAAAAUACUCCAUGUUGUGAGUUAAGUGGUGAUGUUUGCAUGAUUUGAUGUUCCCAGGGUAAGCUCUUUCUUAACAGGGAGGCCCGACUGGUGGUGAAUAAGGAAGUCAGAUCAUGGAUCCAGAGAAGUAGGGAGGAAGUCGUCAUGGAUGGCUGUCAGGCCUCUUCAAGUACCUGCAUUUCAGAAUCCUGUUUGGGAACAGUCAAUAGGCCACUUGCAUGUCUUUGAAACUCCUGAGUAAUUUUUUCCCCUGUUUGAGUUGCCUAGUGUUUAACAAGUAACAGCGUCAGAAUUCUUUAGAAUAGUUGGUGAACUGAUUUCCUUAGUUUUUCGGGCAUUAGUCUGAAUCAGGGAGCUUUUCCCCAGCUGUUCUUGUAUGUGUUAGAAAGAAGUAGUUGCAGAGAUACUAGUUUGGUGAAACGUGACCAUUAGACUUCAAUAAAUAAUAAUUGCUUAGUGUUUCAUUCAGUGUUCUGUUUUUGGAAUUUCAAUUGCAAAUGAAAAAAAUACAAAUUUAGAGAGUAGUUUGCUAAGCAAUUAGUAAUAAAAUGUGCUAGAGUGACAAAAACUGCUUGGCAUUAAUUUCAUAAUCUUGCAGCAUUGCUAAAUCAUCCUUUUGAAAGUUAAAAUUAAUAUUUGAAAUUAAUAAUUAAGUUCAUGGCUGCCAGGACUAAUUGAAAGUUUUGUAGAGAGAAAGUGUAUUAUCCCAAAUGUCAUUACUCAUUCACGAUAUGUCUUACUAAUAUGAGGCUCUGGUGUCAGUUGCUUUUAUACUAAUUGUUUUUAACAGGACAAGAUUUGUUUAGUGAUGUUCAUUGUACUGGGGAUGUAAUUCAUUGUAAACACACAAUCCAUUUGUAAUCAGACGAUGAAAUGCACACAAAUGUUAUUUUUCCACUAGCUGAAAAAAUGUCACCUCAGUAACAGCCAGGGCAUGCUAGAGGCCGCUGUGCUGGUCUUGCAUUGCUGAAUGUGCCACUGGUUAGAUUUGGUAUUGUUUAGCUGCUGAAAUCUGCCAAAAGUCGCAGCCUAAGGAAGGAUGGCUGUUGGGGAGAAACUGUGCUCCUAGAGUCUGCCAUGCCUCUCUAGCGAGGCUUGGUGCUCUGUGGAUGGAGAGAGGGUUCAAUCAGUGUAGCCUCCACAGCUGAGAGUCAGCAUGGCCUAGUGGUGGGGGACAUGAUUUUAUUCUCAGCACUGUGGAUUUCUGGCUGUGUAGACCCAUGGGAAGCUCCUCUGCCUCCUUCCCUCAUAGCCUUGUUGCAGGGAUUAAAUGUGUGCCAUUUGUCAAACACUUAGAAUUACUGCUACCUCACAGUAGUGAAUAUAAAUGUCUCUUAAAAAGAAAAUCUCUGGGCCGGCACCGCGGCUCACUAGGCUAAUCCUCCACCUUGCGGCACUGGCACACCGGGUUCUAGUCCCGGUUGGGGUGCCAGAUUCUGUCCCGGUUGCUCCUCUUCCAGUCCAGUUCUCUGCUGUGGCCCGGGAAGGCAGUGGAGGAUGGCCCAAGUGCUUGGGCCCUGCACCCCAUGGGAGACCAGGAGGAAGCACCUGGCACCUGGCUUCGGAUCAGCGCAGUGCGCUGGCCGUAGCAGCCAUUUGGAGGGUGAACCAACGGAAGGAAGACCUUUCUCUCUGUGUCUCUCUCUCACUGUCUAACUCUGCCUGUCAAAAAAACAAACAAAAAAAACAAAAACAAAAAAAAGAAAAAAAGAAAAUUUCUGGCAGUAUCCACUUGUAAGCUGUUUGAAAAUAUCUGUUAAGCACUUUUCUUCUAUUGUUAAAAAAAAAGAUGACAGAUUGCAGUAUUAAAGAAAAGUUUAGUAAUAGUCAUCUGUAUUACCAAUAUUUUAAAUGAGCAUGCAUCGUCUUAUUAUAAUUUACAUGUAUGCAAAUUUCACACAAUUGAAGUUGUAAUGUGUACAGCAAUCACUGUGGGAAGCUGACCGAUCAGUCAGUCCAAGGCACGGAGGCUCUGGUCAUAGCCACGUGGGAGAGGGUAGAGCAGAGCAGAGAUGCUGAGCAGCUUGAAGCAACUUUGCUGGGAAGUUAACUACAUAAGGAAAGAAAACAAUUUUUCCCUUUGAAAACUGGUGAAGACCUAGAGACAUCAUUCCACUCGGUGCUGGGAGCAGUGCAGGGAAGUGAGCACUGUCACAUAGCCACCAUGGGGCGUAAAUUCAUUUCUGGAGUACGUGGCAUGGAAACAGGACAGUUUUUUCAUCUGAAGUUACCUAAAAAUAUAAUCUCAGAUUGGCAUUGUCCUAUGUCAUUAAAUAUUCUUCUGCUAUGUCUUGAUUUCCCUGUGUGGCUUAAGGGGCAUACCUGCCUUCAUCCUUUAUCCUUGUUUGAGUGCAGUAGCCUAAUUUCACUGUCAGAGGUGUGUGCAGCUUCCCAGGUUUUGAAGUGUGCUUUGGUUUGUAUGUCUGCUUUGAGGAUUUAGGGUGGCACAUGAAGGUUUAAAUCCCCUGUUUGGGUACCUCACUGGUCCAGGAAGGGCUUGGUACCAGUGUGUGUUUGUGUCUAAGCUGGCGUACAUAUGGCACACUUCACAGCCAGGCCCAUGGUCUCAAGCCCUCUCUCCUGGCUGGGGGUUCACACUGUGGAAGCCUCUAAUGGGACCGAGCACCUGCUGGUACAGGCCCGUUUCUGUGGCCAGAGAGUGCCAUGCACUCAGUCUAAUUGUUGGCCUUGGUCGUUGGCAGUGGUGGGCUUUGGAGGGCCACUACUCUAGAAGAUAGAAGGGAGCUGGAAUGUGGGUUGCCAGGGCCUGGACAUCAGUCACAGAGUUGAUGACGGAAUGUGCUCCGUGAGUGAGUGUGCUCUGUGAGUGAGUGUGCUCCAUGAGUGGUGAAUGCCCUGUCCAAUGCAGAAACUCCUCAAUGGCCGCCUCAGGCCAGAGCCCAGCCUCGUUCCCUUUUAUUAGAAUGUUUGUGGGAGCAUUACUCCCUUUAUCUUGACUUGGAGCAGAGCACUCUGGAAAGAUGAAACCUGCCGUGAGCUGCCUGUCAAAUGCUGCAGUCUGUCUCCUGUGAAGGUUUUUGGGUGAGUACUUUGUGCCACGGGCACAGGAGGGGAAGUGAGUAUGGACUGAGAACAGCCAGUUUUGUGAGGCCUGCCUUGGUUGACUUGUUGAGAGCUUUCAGUAUAGGGGUUGUAGAGGAUCCAGGUGCCAUGGAGCCUGCCAGUGAUGCCUGGGACUUCUGCUUCCGGGACAGAAUGGGGAGGGGUCAUGGGACUAGAAUGUGCACAAGCUGACCUGCUCAGGGGACCCUUCCAGACCCUGUUGAGCAGGGUAGUGCUGGUGGUGGGAAUGCGACAGGUACCACAGUGUCACUGUGAGAGGACAGCCAGGAGGAGUAGAAACCAUCUGUGGCCUAGGAAGUGAGCCAGUGAAGUCCAGAAUUGAAUCUCUGCCACUGGGCAGUGGAAGGAGCUGGAGUGACAAACAGAGAAGGAGACAGUGAGCCAGGAUCAGAAAGUGGGAUAACUGGUCUGCAGAGGAUGAGGCAUGUAUCUUCUUUUGUUUUUCUAGAUCAGUGGUUCUGAGUUUUAAUGUUCUUAAGAAAUGGCUGGAAAGCUCACUACAGCCAUGUCUUAGACUCAUCCCAGAGAUUUGCAUUUUCCAAUUUGGGUUGGGUCCCCUGCCACGAAUUUGCAUUUCCCUCAAGCCCACAGGUGAUGUGGGGAGCGCUGGUCCCAGGGCCACACUUAGAGCACCAUGAUUCUAGGUUUGCGCUCUAUGGCAGGAGGACUUUCCUUAGAUCUCCAAUCUCAAUAGAUCUAAAGAGGAAAGAGAGGGAAAUGGGAGCUCCUGAGUUCUUGUUCUAUCCCAGAUGCUUACCUGUUACCUAACAGCGUUCCCUUCUCACAAACAUGGAGUCCUAUCAUCUGUGUUUUCCAUGGGGAUGUGGAGUCUCCGGGAGGCCAGUGAUCUGCCAAAAGGCAUAUAGCCAGUCAGUGCUGUGACCGGCUUUUGAAUUAGUGCAGUUCUGUACUGUAGCUCUCCCCAACAGGGGCCAUGCUCUAGGCAGGGGAGGGAGCCGCCUGCUCACCAGUCGGGGUUGUUAUAUAGACCAGGACCCAGGAUGUGGCAGCAGUGCCAAGUGAAUCUCAGAGUUUGGGAAUUAGUAAGACGUUCCUCAAUUUUUUUUUCUUAAAAAUUCAUGUAAAGAUGAUACUGAAAAAUAAUAUUUUAAAAGUUUAGGAUCAAGCUGAAAGUGGUACAGAAAUUUCCAACAUGUUUUAUUUAGGAUUUUAGUGAGGUUAAAACAAAAUUGUCCCUAUAAUUUCUUUCUUUGAGGUUGUGUGUUGAAGCAUCACAAAGACAGAACACAAAAGCAUAUCAGGCAAAUAUAAGAACUGUAAGGUAAAGCAUGUUUUUCUGUGAUAAGGUAUGUAUUUGCACAUGACAAUAUAUUUCACUGUGUUUCAUUGUUCAAUAUGAAUGUGGGACAGCCUUUAUGAAAUACUGAGAGUGAUUAUACUGAAUAAUCCUUUUGUUUUUGAGUAGUUUUGAAAAAACAUAAGCAGGUUAUAGGAAAUUUUAGAACUCUGUGAAAUUAUAGCUCUGUAGUUAAAUGAUCUUACUAAAACCGCCCUCAAACUCUGCUUUACCUCCCCAAGUACAAAAGAUACAAGUAGUGUGUGAGCUUCUUGGCUCUCAUAGUCCUUUAGGUACACGCAUUUUCCUCUCCAUGUAAAAAUAAAAACGCCUAUUCUGGCAAAGCAGUGGAUUUUUCGGGGGCGGGGAGGGGGGAGAGAUGGCAAGUACUAAUGAAGAAUUAGUUAACAACGAUUGUCCAGGGAUUAAUCUGGUAAUAUGCCAUAUUUACAACAAUGCAAAUGAACCUAGGAUCUUAACAGAUGUGGUCUAGGAAGCUAUUUAAUCUUAUUUAAAUUGUGUCUAGGUCUUAGAUUUUCGACUACCUGGAUGCAUUUAUCAUCAUACUGCUCGUAUAGUUUCCUCUUCUUAGUAGUGAAGAGCACUGUGAUCAUCUUUGAUUUUCUUGGAGCACUAAGCUCAUGAAGUAAUUACCCACAUUCCUGUGCACCUUCUGUUCCUCAGUUUGAACACCUUGCGGUAAGGACUUUCUCAUGCAACCAGAAAUCCCCACAAGAAGCUUCCUCUUGCCCUAACCAGUGUGUCCUGAAUGAGUUAGGAAAAAACACCUGACAGGUAUUUGGUGUGGAUGAGCAGUAAGAAGAGAGCCUCCAGGCCAGUCCGCGUCCUUAGCCCCAUAUGUACAGGAGAGGGUUAGCUUUGUCAGCCUGUGACCGGGCAGGAUACAUGCAAGCCUUUCCCGGUCCCAGGCAUUGUCAGCGUUACUGUGUGUCCUGCCAGUGUGACUAACGGUAUGAAAUAGUAAAGGCACACGAGGACCUUUCAGAGUUCCAAUUUUUCCUCAUAUUGACCUUCAGUUCCAUAAAAAAAAAGUAUCAAAUCCAGGAGGGGCCAGUCUUUGGUGCAGUGGUUAGGAUGCUGCUUGGGAGGCCACAUUCCUUGUCGAAGCACCAGGGUUCCAGUUCCGACUCUGCUUCUGGUUCCAGUUUCCUGCUAAUGUGCACCCUGGAAGACUGCAUGUGAUGGCUUGAGUGUCCAAGUCACCCACAUGGGAGACCUGGAUGGGGUUCUAGGCUCCUGGCUUUGGCUUGGCCCAACCCCAGCUACUGGGGACAUUUAGGGAGUGAACCAGUGAAUGAAAGAUGUUUGCAUCUCUGUCUCUCUCAGCUUCCCUGCCUUUCAAAUUGAUUAAGUAAUUAAUUAAUUUAAAAGUAUUAAAUCCAGGCUGGCGCCGAGGCUCAAUAGGCUAAUCCUCCGCCUGCAGUGCUGGCACACCGGGUUCUAGUCCCUGUCAGGGUGCCGGAUUCUGUCCCGGUUGCCCCUCUUCCAGGCCAGCUCUCUGCUGUGGCCCGGGAGUGCAGUGGAGGAUGGCCCAAGUGCUUGGGCCCUGUACCCGCAUGGGAGACCAGGAGAAGCACCUGGCUUCUGCCUUCGGAUCAGUGCGGUGCACUGGCCGCAGCGUGCCGGCCGUGGUGGCCGUUGGAGGGUGAACCACCGGCAAAGGAAGACCUUUCUCUCUGUCUCUCUCUCUCACUGUCCUCUCUGCCUGUCAAAAAAAAAAAAAAAAGUAACUAUUAAAUCCAAAAUUACUUUAUUUUUUUUUUUGACAGGCAGAGUUAGACAGUGAGAGAGAGACACAGAGAGAAAGGUCUUCUUUCCGUUGGUUCACCCCCCCAAAUGACCGCCACGGCCAGCGCACUGCGCUGAUCCGAAGCCAGGAGCCAGGUGCUUCCUCCUGGUCUCCCAUGGGGUGCAGGGCCCAAGCACUUGGGCCAUCCUCCACUGCCUUCCCGGGCCGCAGCAGAGAGCUAGACAGGAAAAGGAGCAACCGGGAUAGAACCGGCGCCCCAACUGGGACUAGAUCCUAGAGUGUCGGCGCCACAGGAGGAGGAUUAACCUGGUGAGCUGCGAUGCCGGCCCAAAAUUACUUCUUAUACAUGCUGGUAGUGGGUAUUAGGGGAGGCCCUACUUACUGAUGUUCUAAACACCCCAGCACAUUCUUAGUCUGUUUUAUGGACAGUCUGGAACUGCCUUUAGAACAUCACUCUUUUUUCAUUUUAAACCUUUUAUUAUUUUAAAAUUAGGGAUCCUACAUAAAAUACAGCACAGCCUACUGAGGCAGUUCAGAGAGAAUACCCUCAGCACCAACCAAGACAUUAGAACUUGGCCAACCACCAAAAGCCAUAUACUGUCCCUGCUCGCAAAACUGAUUAUCCUGACCUUUAUGGUGACCAGCUACUUGCCCUGCCUCAGGGGUACAUGCUUGGAUAAUAAAACUGGAAACACCACAGGUCGUUAUUUUCUUCCUAAAGCUUACUUAUUUCAGAGGCAUAGAGGCUAGUGGGGUGGGAAGAGGAAAAGAGAGAGGAAGAGAGAGAACUCCCGUGUCCUAAGUCACUUCCCAAAUACGUGCAGCAGCUGGAGCUGGGCCUGGCCAAAGCCAUAUCUGGGAACUUGGUCUGGGUCUCUCACAUGGAUGGCAGGGAUCCAAUCAGUUGAGCCACUGCCUGCUGCACAUUAGCAGGAAGGUGGUAUUAGCAGGGAGCUGAGUGCUUGAAUCUCAAGUACUCCAGCACAAGAUGCAGGUGUGUUUUAACAAUUGGACCAUACAGCCACUCCUCCUUUUUUUUUUUUUUAAGUCUUUAAGUAUUUUUUAAUCCAUAGUUUAUCUCUUCACUUGUCUGCCUUUUCUGAUAGCCUCCCCAUUGUGCAAUUGCAUAUUUAUUGUAAAUUCAUAGUGGAACCACAGUUUUGAUCAAAUUUAGUAUAUUCCUAUGUGUAACUGUAUAUUAGUGAACAUAUGAAAGCACAUAUGUUUGAGAUGUUAGUGACCUUUGAUGCCCAGUGUCUAUAUUCAUGAAUUAAUUAAGUGGGGGUUUACCUGUUUGUUUGAAUUUUUCUGUAAAGAGAAGUUUCUCUUCAUCUGCCGCUCAGUUCUCCAGUAGUACAGGGUACAUGGGAGUCUUCUGAGGAGCUGGGCCUUAAUAGCUGUGGGGUUCUCCUGGGGCGCCUUUGAGAUUGAGAAGCUGGAUGUAACUGGAAAGAGCCACUUGAUGGGCACAUGUGCAGCGACACUGUCUGGGUUAUUGGGUUGGACAAGGAGCAUAUAGGUCUGACUUGCAAGCUGUUAUUGUUACCUAGUAGCUAUCAGUGGCUACUUUUUCAGGAGAAUGGACUUUGUGCCCUUCCAUUUAAGCUACCCAUGUUUUUAAAUCAGUUGCUAUUUGUUGACAGACUUAAACCUCUUUUGCUGUCCUAUCUCUUGGCAUUUAUCGGUUUAUUUGAAAAGAUCUUAGAGGUCAGUGUCAGUUUUUAUCUCAAAAUCAAGCAAAUCUGCUUUAUGUUUGGUUUCUUUUUUAAAAUUUUUAUUGUGAUAUUAAUAUAGAGAGAACAGAUUUAAUGUAGUUCAUACAUACAAUUCUAAGAAUAUAUUGAGGGGCCAGUGCUGUGGCGCAGCGGGUUAAGCCGCUGCCUGCAGUGCUGGCAUCCCAUAUGGGCGCCAGUUCGAGAACUGGCUGCUCCACUUCCAAUCCAGCUUUCUGCAAUGGCCUGGGAAAGCAGUGGAAGAUGGCCCAAGUCUUUGGGCCCCUGCACCUGUGUGGGAGACCUGAAAGAAGCUCCUAGCUUUUGGCUUUGGAUCAGCAUAGCUCCGGCUGUUGCGGUUAGUUGGGGAGUGAACCAUUGGAUGGAAGACCUCUCUCUCUGCCUCUCUUUCUCUCUGUGUGUAACUCUGACUUUCAAAUAAAUCUUCAAAAAAAAAAAAAAAAAAAGAAUAUAUUGAUACUUCCCUUCCUCCCCCGUUCUUCUCUCUGCUUUCUUCCUUUUGUCAUUUUUGACUUUUUUUUUUUUUUUGACAGGCAGAGUGGACAGAGAGAGAGAGACAGAGAGAAAGGUCUUCCUUUGCCGUUGGGUCACCCUCCAAUGGCCGCUGCGGCCGGUGCGCUGCGGCCGGCGCACCACGCUGAUCCGAUGGCAGGAGCCAGGAGCAGGUGCUUUUCCUGGUCUCUCAUGGUGUGCAGGGCCCAAGCACUUGGGUCAUCCUCCACUGCACUCCCGGGCCACAGCAGAGAGCUGGCCUGGAAGAGGGGCAACCGGGACAGAAUCCGGUGCCCCAACCGGGACUAGAACCCGGUGUGCCGGCGCCGCUAGGCGGAGGAUUAGCCUAGUGAGCCGCGGUGCCGGCCCCAUUUUUGACAUUUUUAACUUACAUUUUAGUCAGAACCUUACCGCUCCACUAAAAAAGAGCAACAAGUAAAAGGCAGAAAGACCAUCAUUCAGCAGGAAUAGGUAGGCAAGGGCUAGAAACAGUAGUCAGAGGGAAAGAGGUCCAUUUCACCAUGUAAGUAAACUUUACAGAUAAUCACAGAUCACUAAAACUAUAGUAGUAUGUCAUUCUUAACCAUUUGACAAAGAUAUAAAACAAAGUUUGUCAAAACUAUAUUUGCAGCAACAUUCCUACACACAGGCAUUCUAUCUUGUUUUUGUUUUUUGAUUUUUUUUUUCUUUUUAAAUUUUAACUCCCACAUAUAAGGGAGAACAUGUGGUGUUUGUCUUUCUGCAUCCGGCUUAUUUCAUUCAACGUGAUGUCCUCCAGUUGAUCCAUUUUGAUGCAGAUGGUAGAAUUUCAUUCUUUUCUGUAGCCGAAUAAUACACACCACAUUUUCUUUUUUCUUUUUUUUUAAGAUUUAUUUUAUUUAUUUGGAAGACAGAGUUACAGUGACAGGAGAGACAGAGAGAAAGGUCUUUCAUCUGCUGGUUCACUCCCCAGAUGGCCACACGACCGGACCUGCACCAAUCUGAAGCCAGGAGCUUCUUCCGGGUCUCCCACGUGGGUGCAGGGGCCCAAAGACUUGGGCCAUCUUGUACUGCUAUCCCAGGCCAUAGCAGAGAGCUGGGUCGGAAGAGGAGCAGCCAGGACUAGAACUGGCACCCAUAUGGGAUGCUGGCACUUCAGGCCAGGGCAUUAACCCGCUGCACCGCAGUGCUGGGCCCCACACCACAUUUUCUUUAUCAGUAUGUUAUCUGAUGGUGGACACCUUGCUUGGAUCCAUAUUUUAGCUAUUGUGGACAGUGCUGCUAUAACAUGGUGGUUCAGGUAUCUCUUUAAUACAUUGUAUCCAAGUCUUUUGAACACAGUAGUAGGGUUGCUGUAUCCUAUAAUAAGUCUGUUUCUAAUUUUUUUUUUUUUUGACAGGCAGAGUUAGAGAGAGAGACAGAGAGAAAGGUCUUCCUUCAGUUGGUUCACCCCUUAAAUGGCUGCUAUGACCGUCAAGCUGCGCCAAUCUGAAGCCAGGAGCCAGGUUGCUUCCUCCUGGUCUCCCAUGCCGGUGCAGGGCCCAAGCACCUGGGCCAUCCUCCACUGCCUUCCCGGGCCACAGCAGAGAGCUGGCCUGGAAGAGGAGUAACCGGGACAGAAUCGGGCGCCCCAACUGGGACUGGAUCCCGGGUGCUGGCGCCGCAGGCAGAGGAUUAGCCAAGUGAGACAUGGUGCCAGCCUGUUUCUAGUUUUUUUUAAAAAAUAUUUUUAUUUAUUUAUUUGAAAGGCAUAGCUACAAAGAGAAGGUCAGCAAAGAGAGAGGUCUUCCAUCUGCUGGCCUAUUCCCCAAUGGCUGCAGUAGCCAAAGAUGGUCCAGUCUAAAGCCCGGAGCUUCUUCCAGAUCUCCCUUGUGUGUACAAGGGACCUAAGUACUUGAGCCGUCCUUUGCUGCUUUCCCAGGCACAUUAACAGGGAGCUGGAUUGGAAGUGGAACAGCUGGGACUCAAACCAGUGCCCAUAUGGAAUGCUGGCGCUGCAGGCAGUGGCUUACGCACUAUGCCACAAUGCUGGCUCCUGUUUCUAGUUCUUUAAGAAAUUUCCAUACUGUUUUCUACCAUGGCUGCUCUAAUUUACAUUUCUACCUUCAGUGUAUAAGCCGUUUUUCCACAUCCUCACCAGUGUUUAUUACUUUCUAUUUUUUUAGUUAAUAGCUAUUCUGACAGGGGUGAGCUGACAUCUUAUUGUCAUUUUGAGUUGCGUUUCUCUGAUGGCUGGUGAUGCUGAGCAUUUUUUCAUACAUUUGUUGACUGUUUACAUUUCUUUUGAGAACUGUCUAUUAAGGUCCUUUGUGCUUUCUUCACUAUAUUGGUUGCUUUUUAUGUUUGAAUAUUUUGAGUUGCUGAUGUUUUCUGGAUAUCAGUCCAUUUUCGGAUAAGUGGAUAUAAAACAGUCAGUGAGGACCUAAACACUAAUAAACACUUAAAAAGUGUGGACUCUAGAGACAGAUUUCGUGCCUACAUUUGAAUCCUGGCUGUGCCUCUCAGUGGCUGUAUGACUUCUUCCAUAGAGAAUCUAUUUCUAUUACCAUGUAUUUUGAAGAUGUAGCAACAUUUCAUUAAUUUGAAUUUAUAUAACUAUAAAUUUUAUAAAUUAUAAAGUUAUAAAUUUAUUUUUUUGAAAGUCAGAAUUAACAGAGUGAGAUAAAAAGAGAGUUCCCCUUCCUGCCCAAAUGGCUGCAAGGGCCAGGCAGGAGCCAAGAGCCUGCUCCAGGUCUCCGAUGUGGGUGCAGGGGCCUAAGCAUUUGGGCCAUCUUCCACUGCUUUCCCAGGCACAUUAGUAGGGAGCUGGAUCAGAAGUGAAGCUGCUGUGACUUGGACCAGUGCCCACAUAGGGUGCCGGUACUACAGAUGGCUACUUAACCCACUGUGCCACUGCACCAGCCCCUGUAAUUAUGUUUUUCAAACUGGAGGUUGCCGGUGCUCUCUCUCCCCCUUUCUCUGGUAAUUCCUACUUUCAAAUAAAUUGAUUAAAUUUGAACUGUAUCAAGCUAUCUCCUCCAUCUAUGAUGGCAUUAUUUGCUAACCACCAAUCUCUCCCAGCCACCACCCCAUUAGCACAGUGUAGGGGUCAGUGAGUACAGUAUAUGCAUUACAUUGUCAGUGGCAGCAUGGAUCAGUGGGCUCAGAGCUGCUGUGCUGCCUCACCCAGGCUCUGGCCUCCUCUCAGACCAGACACAAUUCUUCCAGCACUGUUUUUAUGCUUCUUUAGUAACUUCAUUUCCUGUGUAUCCUUUUGUUCUCACAGCUUCUCCAUCUGACUGUAUUACAGAGUAAGAGUGUGCUGAGGUGUCUACAAAGCUAGAGCAAAAAAAAAAAAGUAAUUAAAACAUUAAAAAGUAAAGGAGAGAUAAAUUGGGCAGAAGUGAGAUAAUUGGUAUUUAAGCAUAAAGAAAAAAAGGAAAUUGAUAGGGCUUCUAUAACAUUUGCAGGAAGUUCAGAUUACAUUUCCUAGGGAAAGAGAGAUGAUUGAGGUGGCCCAUGUGAUGAACACGGGUGACAUUUUACAAGAAUGGAUAAUUGAAAGAGGAAUUGGCCAACAAAGGUGAAAAUGUGACAAAGAUGUAAAAAGUGAUAAAUGCUAGGAGUGAAAUUGAAAGUGAUCAGAUUAGCAGAUGUUGACAGCAAAGCAAGCAUGUAAGGAGUUCUACCCUUCCUUGAGCUACGGUGUGAAUAUGUUGCAUGAGCCUGUGAAUGUGAAAAGCAAGGUAAGGUCAUUUGAGUAUCUUCCAGUUGAAGUUUUGCUAGACAAGUGCUUAUGUUUAAUAUGGAAUGUUAGUUCUACAUGGAAUUGAAGGGUCCAAUUUAAAACAUCCCAGUCCGUUUAGCUAGCUUUCAGGGCAAAAUACUGAAGUUACUCAUCACAUUGAAAGGAAGUAGUGAGUACACAGAGACUGAAGAAGAGAGAGUACAAGUGAGAACUAGCUCAUCACUGCAGAAACUGGCAUGAGUUGGUUGAUGCUAAGCUGUCAGUUGAAUCUGUAGCACAGAUGAGGAUGCUGCUGGGAGACUUGUGUCCAGGCUGGUUUAGGCCUGUGAAGAUGCUCAUCAUCAAACCCUUUAAUGUUGAUGAGACCUUGUUAGCCAGUCACACCAGGACCUGUGCUUGUGAAGAUGGAAGGUAGUGAAGUGGCUUUUUAUAAAGAGUUACAGGUAGAGUAACUAGGUGCUAUGGCAUAGUGGGCUAAGUUUCUACCUGUGGUGCCAGCAUCCCAGAUGGGUUCUGGUUUUUGUCCUGGCUGCUCCUUUUCUGAUCUGGUUCUGUGCUAUGGCCUGGGAAAGCAGCAGAGGCUGGCCCUAGUGCUUGGGCUCCUGCACCCACAUGGGAGGCCCAGAAGAGGCACCUGGCUCCUGGCUUUGGAUUGGUCCAGCUCUGGCCAUUGUGGCCAUUUGGGGAGUGAACCAGCAGAUGGAAGACUUUCUAUCUGUCUCGCCCUUUCUCUGUGAUUCUAUCUCUUAAAUAAAUAAAUGAAGUCUUUUAAGAAAAUACAAAAAAAAAUUUAAAGUAGAGUAACUCUUAUUAGGAGGUAACACAAAAGAUGACUUUAAAUGAAAACCUAGGGGGAGUGAGCAUUUCGCCUGGUGGUGAAGACUCCUACAUCCAGUCAGAGUGCCUGGAUUCAGUUCCUAGCUCUGGCUCCUGACCCUGGCUGCCUGCCAGUGCACUCGAGGAGGCAGCAAUAAUGGAUCAAGUAGUUGGGUUCCUGCCACCCACAUGGGAGACUUGGCUGAGUUUCUGGCUGCUAGUGUUAGCCCCUGCCCAGCUCUGGCCUUUGCAGACAUUUGGGAAGUGAACCAGCAGAUGAGAGCUCUGUCUGUCUCCAUUUCUUCUGCCUUUCAAAUAAAACGUACGCUAAUCUGUAAGUCUGAUAACACUGAGUGUUAAAAAGACAUCAUGAAAAAGCAUCUCAACCAGUCAUUUGGUACACAGAUAAAAGAUUGUAAGUUAAAACAUCAUCGUUCUAAGACUUGUUUCAAUUUUAUUUUUGGUCAGAGAUAGGCAAAAUUAUACAACUUUUCUUUUUAAAUAUUUAUUUUAUUUAUUUGAAAGGUGGAGCCCCAGAGAGAGAAGUCUUUCAUCUGCUGGCUCACUCCCCAGAUGACCAUAACAGCCAGAGCUGGAUGGAUCCUAAGCCAUUAGCCAGGAGUUUCCUCUGGCUCUUCCCCAUGGGUACAAGGGCCACGCACUUGGGUCAUCCUCCACUGCUUUCCCAGGCACAUUAGCACGGAGCUGGAUCAGAAGUGGAGCAGCCGGGACUCGAACUGGCACCCAUGUGGGAUGCCGGCAAUGCAAGUGGCAGCCCAGCCUCCCACACCCAGGAAUAGUACAGCUUUUAGAGCAUAGCUGCUUCUGUUGGAUAAUGCUUCAGGUCAGCCUAAUUCCCUUGGAGACUUGAGUGAAAAUGUGAAAACUUGCUUUUUUUUCUAGCCAGCACAACUUCAUUUAUUCAGCCAAUGAGACAAGGAGUUAUUUCAGCUUCUUAAGGUCUAUUCUCUCAGCAGGCAUUCAGAUGGGUGACUGAUGGUACUCCUGGAGAGCGUGCAUUUCUGUAGCGGAAUUUCCCCUUCACUUCAGCCUCCCCCCCGCAUCAUUCUUGCUCCUGGUUUGUCUUGUUCAUCUAAUUCAGUGGCUAUUUGGUUUCUAGAACAUAAUGUGUAGGUUCUCAUCCACAAUCCUGAGGUCUUAAAGGCCUUUUCAAGUGUAUUCAUUCUUUUGUGUUCCAACAAGCAUCAUUAUUUCCUGUGUUCACUUUUUAUUCUUUUCUGGAGUACCUUGGUGAGAGGAGAUGACUUCAACAGAAGGAGUCCUUUUACUUGAGGGCCCAGCAGUGAAAGUCUUACCUCUCAGUGAUUAACUUUAGAUCACAAAGAGGGUAGAACCAAGCUGCUCCUAAGACCUGAGUCUCUAUACAUUCACCGAGGAAGCAGAAUCUUUUUUUUUUUUUUUAAUUUAUUUAUUUGAGAGGCAGAGUUAUAGACCAAGAGAAGGAGAGACAGAGAAAAGGUCUUCGAUCCACUGGUUCACUCCCCAAAUGGCUGCAACAACCUGCUGAGCCAGGAGCUAGGAGACAAGAGACAGGAGCAUCUUCUGGGUCUACCACGCGGGUGCAGGGGCCUGUGCAAUUGGGCCAUCUUCUGCUUUCCCAGGCCACAGCAGAGAGCUGGAUUGGAAGUGGAGCAGCUGGGAUUCAUGCCCUUGUGAUAUGCCAACACUGCAGGUGGCGGCUUUACUUCUAUGCCACAACACUGGCCCUGGAAGCAAACUCUUUUAAAGUAUGAGCAAGUGGUAAUAGUAUAAAGUCAGGCAGUAAGACACAUCCAGGUGACCUCACAGAGAUUUGAAAACCAGCAUCUGGGAGAUGCGCAGUACUCAUGGUGAGCCAGGCGUGAUUCCGAGCUCCUUUCUGCAUCCACACCCUACGCUGCCAUCUGCUCCUGGCCUCAGCUGCGGGAACCACAUGUCAGUCAUGGGAGCUGGGAAGUGUGGCCCAGAGCCCACAGCUGUGGCAGGGUGUAAGGACACAACAACAAAGCCUCCAGUAAGCAAACUUACCAUGGUAGGGAGUGUGCAGAGAGCUUUAUUCUGGUAAAGUCAGGUUAAAAGAGUUGUGAUGUUGGCUGGCGCCACAGCUCACUAGGCUAAUCCUCCGCCGCAGCACACCGGGUUCUAGUCCCGGUCGGGGCGCCGGAUUCUGUCCUGGUUGCCCCUCUUCCAGGCCAGCUCUCUGCUGUGGCCAGGGAGUGCAGUAGAGGAUGGCCCAAGUGCUUGGGCCCUGCACCCCAUGGGAGACCAGAAUAAGUACCUGGCUCCUGCCAUCGGAUCAGCGCGGUGCGCUGGCUGCAGCGGCCAUUGGAGGGUGAACCAACGGCAAAGGAAGACCUUUCUCUCUGUCUCUAUGCAAUUGCCUGAUAUUAAGCACCCUGGUAGCUGGAAAAUGUUAGGACUGAAUGCAGGUGAGUGUCCUCAGCAUUAUGUGAUUUUAUACUUAAAACAACAACAACAACAACAACAACCUGAUGAGCACAGAAAGAAUAGAUGGGGAAUUAGGUCUCAAAAGCAGAUAAAGUUAAGAACUAAGAGAUGCUUACAUUUUUCUUCUUCUGGUCAAGAAUGUUUUUGGGAAACUCUUAAGCCAGUGUGUACUGUUAGGAAAAACCUUGUGAAGUUUGGCUUUUGGUGCCAGUGUAGUCCUUGCAUGUGUGUAUGGGUCCUAGAAUCGAGGGGGUUGAAGCCAGCCUGAUGCACGUGUUACAAGGAUGCUUACUUGUGAAAGCAGACCUUGAGGUGCUUCGGGUUUUUGGAUUGGUUUCUGGGAGCACGGGCACAUAGUUUCAAGAGGCCAGGCAGGUUGCAGCUGGCGGUGUGCCAGCCUCCAGUACAGUAAGAUCCACAUUCUUGUUGCCGUCAUGAGUUUUCAUGACUAAUAUUAGGCUGCAAAAAGGCACAUUUGGGGCAAUCCAUAAACUAAAGGCACUAAUAAUUGUCACUAGGUAAUGUCACAGAGCUAUGAAUAAUUAAUACAUGUUAGACUUAUUUAUGUGGUACACUAGCAAUCCUUACCACUAAUAUACCACAGGUAAACAUUCCUGGGCCUGUGAAUUUCACAUUUUGUUUGUCCCGGGGCCUUCUGCUGGCUGAGUAAAUGCCCAUGGGAAUCCAGACGCUGGUGGGGCAAAGUUGAUGUGAGGGUAGGUCAGGGAGUAGAGGUGAACGAGUGUGGCAAGGGGUGAAAGGGCCUCUUGGGGCUUGGAGUGUCAGAGCCACAUUCACGUCAGACUUUGGAAGGGCCUCUUGAUUAGGGUUGGUAUGUGGAGAAUGGAAAGCCGAGUUGGUCAGCUUUCCUUUUUUCCUCCUAAAUUCCACUCUGAUAAUAACAGAAAAGCAUAUUUGACCUGCAUGGCAUUAAAAUAUUUGGGCAUUAAGGGUCAGGUGCUAGGCUUCAGAAGCUAUUUAAGCCAGGCUAAAUGCAACUUUAGAGGAGAUGUGGUGUCCAAACAAACUAAGGAAUAGAUUCACUCUUUCUGUUAGUAACUGGUGUUUAAUUUUUAAAGAACACAGCAGGCCUUUUGAAGGCAGUUUAAGGAAUGGGUGUGGAAGGGGGUGUGGGGGAAGGAAAUUCAGCAGAAUGCUUUUAGAUAUUUCCUGUUAUAUAAAUGCUACAUACUUCUCAUGCCUUGAGACGCACAACAAAUGCGAAUGAACUCCCUUGAGGCUUCAAUUUAAUUACUGUUACAAAGAAUGUAGACACUAUAUAGGUAAUGAAGGAACCUUAUGUAAAAACCAACACAAUGUGGAACAUUUAAUUUUUCAUCCAAGUCCUACAUGGUGGCAUUUGAAAAUGGUAUAAUGAAAUAUACUUGUGUAAAAAAUAAGUAUUUUAUGCUUAAAAAUCUGCUUUUGUUUAAUUCAUAAGACUUUCUAUUUUUGAAAAAGAGUUUGUCUCGAGGUGGACAUUCCAGAUAAUAAAAUACCUUAUUUGUAAUGUCCCUAAAAUAGCUUGAUACAUUUAUGAAGCAGUAGUUCACUAUGUGCUUGUGAUGAAGAGUUUUGCACUGGUAUUAUGACACUUUUAGUAUCUGCAUGUAAUUUACUAAGCUGGAAUUUUGCAUUAGUAAUGACAAUUUAAAAGUUAAAGCUUUCUGCUGCUAAUUUUGUAGUAUUCUAAAUUCUCUUUUUUCUCCUCUUAAUUAUGUUCCCCUGACUCCCAUACAUAGCCAGGUUUAUCCAUUCUAGUGGCUGAAAGAAGCAGCUAAUGAAAAGUGUUUUUUGUUUUGUUUUGUUUUGUUAAGAUUUAUUUAUUUGAGAGGCAGAGUUACCGACAGAGAGAGGGAGAGACAGAGAGAAAGGUCUUCUAUCUCUGGUUCACUUCCCAACUGGUCACAACAGUCAGAGAGCUGAAUUGGAAGAGGAGCAUCUGGGACAAUAACUGGUGCCGGUAUGGGAUGCCAGCACCGCAGGCAGAGGCUUAGCCUGGUAGGCCUGGUGCCGACCGCUAAUCAAAGCUAUUUUCCCCUUCCUUGUUUUUGGGAAAGUAAUGUAAGCUGGGUAAGGCAUUUUGAGAAAGCAUCUGCUGUUGCCUUCAGCAUUCAGGAGUGAGAGUGUAAACUUGGGGGUGUUUUCCUUAUAUGAAUGCCCUAUGCAUCCAGUGCACCGUGGUGUUUGUGAGAGAGCCAAGCUAGUGGCCAGAAUGUCUGGGUUUCGGGGAUGUCUCCAUCCCUUAGCAGCUUACUCUGGCCAGUGCUGUUCACGUCUAUAAACCAUAGUAUUUUGUGACUGGAGGCUCCUUCUCUCUCCUCAAGAGAAUUGGAAUACAUGACUGAAUGAAUGAAACAGGGUUUAAUCAGUGCAUGUGUAACUCAUGCUUCCGUGGGGCCAUAGAGAAUUCUAAUCUCAAGUUAUUUAUUCAUUGAUGUUUUCAAGUUAAUUCAACCAAUAUUUGUUGACUGUAUGUGAUGUGUGUUAUUCUCUGUACACUGGAGGAUCCAGAGAUCAAGGGUGACAGAUCUGGAUCCCCCAGCUGUCUCCAAUGGAAAAUUAGAACGUAGUUAGCAUCCUGAAACACUUUAUCCAGGGUUGUCAGCCUUGCUGGAGGAGUGGCAGAGUAGAGGCCAGUUAAGAUGAGAGUACCAGGAUUCAAAUGCUGGUACUGGCUCCUCACUCCAGCUUACUCAUUCAGACCCCAGGAAGCAGUGGCAAUGGCUCAAGUACCUGGGUUCUUACCACCCACAUGGGAUACUUGAUCCCUGGGUUUUUCUGGCCCAAUCCAUCCCCAACCUUUGCAGACAUUUGGGAAGUAAACCAACAGAUGGGGGAACAUAUUCUCUCUCUCUCUCUUUCCUCCCCUCCUUCUUCUCCCUUAUUUAUUUAAAAACAUCCAUCCUAUAUUUCUUGCCAUUCACACCAAAGGGCUCCUUUGGAGCACAAAUGUUUAAAACAAAAUUGUUGGGGCCAGCGGGUUAAGCCACUGCUGGUGAUACAACAACCCAUACUUGAUGCCACUUUAAAUCCUGGUUGCUCUGCUUCCUAUCUGGCUUCCUGCUAAUGCUCCUGAGAAAGCAAGAGUGAUGGUCCAAGUACUUGGGUACCUGCCACACACCUGGGAAAACCAGAUGAGGUUCUUGGCUCUAGGCUUCAGCUUGGUCCAGCCCCAGCUGUUGUGAAGGCAUUUGGGGAGUGAACCAGCAGAUGGAAGAGCUCCCUUUCUCUGUCUCUUACUCUCUGCCUGCUACUGUGCCUUUCAAAUUAAUAAAUAAAUCUUUUUUUAGAAAAGCUUUUUAUUUAUUUAUUUUUUAUUUUUUUAUUUGAAAGAGUUACAGAGAGGAAGAGGCCAGGGAAAGGCAGAGGCAGAGAGAAGUCUUCCAUCCACUGGUUCACUCCCCAAAUGGCCACAAUGGCCUGGGCUGUGCCAGGCUGAAGCCAGGAGUCAGGAGCUUCAUCCAUGUGGGUGCCAGGGCCCCAGGGACUUGGGCCAUCUUACGCUGCUCUCCUAUGUGCAUUAGCAGAGAGCUCGGUGGGAAGUGGAGCAUCUGGGAUUUAAACCAGCCCCCAUAUGAGAUGAUGGUGCCCCAGAUGGUAGCUUAACCUGACAUGCCACAUAAAUUUAUUUAUCAUUAUAUUUUUGAGUAGCCAUUGGAGAGACCUUGUAAACUGUAGUUUUGGAAUUACUAUGGUAUACCAAAGCAGUGUAAAUCAAUCUUUAUGCAUACAAACCUAACUUGUUAUAUUAGAAUUUAUGUUAAAGGAAGCACCAGCCCCAAUAAAUAGAUCUUUUAAAAAAAUUUUACAAAAUUGUUGUGACCUACUGUUAAUGAAGGAUCAUUUAGGUUUCUGUCUUAAGUUCUUGGGAAAAUAAGAUUGAGUCACCAUAGUUUAUAGAACCUAAAAAUGAUUAAACUUCAGAGCAUGAAUUGACUUUGGAUCUUUGAAUCAAACUCUAUUGCUUUGUAGACAAAGAAAACUGACAGAUUGUUCAGAGUCAUACUCUCCUGGUAGAGCUGGGGUUAGAAUGUCUGUCCUCUGAUUUCUGUUAACUUCACCAUAGAGCUGUGCUUUGGGGGCCCUCUGAUUUACUUUUGGCCGGGUUACAGCAGCGUCUGUGUUUUGGCUUAGUCUUAGUAAAGUAAAGCUGUCUACUCUGCUUCAAAGAUGUCAAAGCUUAUGUUUUAAAACAUCUAGUGCCUGGAAAUUCUCUGAACAAUGAAAACAUGAAGAAGGAAGACUGUUAAAAAGCCCUUCUUCCCAAUGUGCCAUUCAGUGUCAGAAGCAUGCUGGCUGUGGUAGAAAUCAUGAUGGAUAAAAUCAACAAACCAGGACGAUAAAUGCCAUUCUCAUACAUUCUUCAAGUAAGGUUUCAAAUUAUGGCAUAUGUAAAAAUACAAGAGUUUUUAACAACUGUCUUUAGAUUUGAAAUAUUUUAUAUUUCAUUAUAUUUUAUAUUGAAGUCUAUAUAUAAAUAUAUUUUUUAAAGAUUUUAUUUAUUUAUUUGAGAGGUAGAGUGAGAGACAGUGAGAGACAGACAGAGAGAAAGGUCUUCCUUCCUCUGGUUCACUCCCCAAAUGGCUGCAACAGCCAGAACUGCGCUGAUCCGAAGCCAGGAGCCAGAAGCUUGUUCUGGGUCACCCAAGCAGGUGCAGGGGCCCAAGCACUUGGGCCAUCUUCUACUGCCUUCCCAGGCCACAGCAGAGAGCUGGACUGGAAGAGGAGCAGCUGGGACUAGAACCGGCACCCAUAUGGGAUGCUGGUGCCGCAGGCGGAGGAUUAACCUACUGUGCCAUGCUGCCGGCCCCUAUAUAUAAAUAUUUUAAAGCAUUAGGAAAUAGUAAAAUUAACAAAAUUGAUCGACUGUAUAAAAUUAUAAAUCCUUGGCAUAUGAGAACUUUAUUUUACUUUAGAUACACAUAAUCAUUGUUGGUGCUCAUUGAAAUUAUGUUUAUUGCUAUAGAGCUGUUAAGGUUUGAGGAAGGACUGACAGUUAUGGUUUAUACAGUUUUUAUGCUUUUAUUGAUGUCUCUUUUUAAUAUAUUUUCAUUUUUUUUGAAAGGCAGAAACAGAGGGACAGAGACAUGUUUUUUAUUACUGGUUCACUCUUCAGAUGCCUUCAGCAGCCUGGGGCCAGUUGAAACCAGGAGCCUAGGACUGAAUCUGGGUCUUCCACACCAGUGGCAGGGACCCAGUAGUUGAGCCAUCACCUCCUGCCUACUCUGCAUAUUAGCAGAGAGUAGGAAUUGGACGUGGAGCUGGGAUGUGACCCCAAGCACUCUGAUAAGGAAUGUGGACCUUCCAAGCAGCAUCUCAACCGCUUAGCCAAAUCCCACCCUGAUUUAGGUUUAUUUAUCAUUAUAUUUUUGAGUGACCAUCAGAGAGACCUGAUAAAAUACAGUUUUGGAAUUAUCAUGGUAUACCCAGAUAGUGGGGAUCAAUAUCUUUUUUUAAAAAAAUAUUUAUUUAUUUAUUUGAAAGGCAGAGUUACAGAGAGGCAGAGGCAGAGAGAAAGAUCUUCCAUCCACUGGUUGACUCCCCAAAUGGCUGCAAUGGCCAGAGCUGAGCCCAUCUGAAGCCAGGAGCCAGGAGCUUCCUCCGGGUCUCCCACGUGGGUGCAGGGGCCCAAGGACUUGGGCAAUCUACUGCUUUCCCAGGUCAUAGCAGAGAGCUGGAUCAGAAGUGGAGCAGCAGGACUUGAACUGGUGCCCAUAUGGGAUGGUGACACUGCAUUUGGAGGGUUUACCCACUACAGCACAGCACCAGCCCUGGGAUCAGUGUCUAUGCGUACAAACCAAACUUGUUAUAUAGAAUUUAUGUUAGAGGAAGCAAGUGAUUUGGACACUCCAACUCUGGUUUAAAGAAGUGCUAAGUGGGGCCGGCGCCGCUGCUCACUAGGCUAAUCCUCCACCUUGCGGCGCCAGCACACCGGGUUCUGGUCCUGGUCGGGACGCCGGAUUCUGUCCCGGUUGCCCCUCUUCCAGGCCAGCUCUCUGCUGUGGCCUGGGAGUGCAGUGGAGGAUGGCCCAAGUGCUUGGGCCCUGCACCCCAUGGGAGACCAGGAGAAGCACCUGGCUCCUGCCAUCAGAUCAGCGCGGUGCUCCGGCCGCAGCGCGCCGGCCGCGGCGGCCAUUGGAGGGUGAACCAACGGCAAAGGAAGACCUUUCUCUCUGUCUCUCUCUCUCACUGUCCACUCUGCCUGUCAAAAAAAAAAAAAAAAAAAAAAAAAAAAGUGCUAAGUGAAGCACUACAACUUCCUCUCUUCAGCUAAUAAUUGAAUUACCAAAUAAACAUAUUUCAUUAUAUUUCAAAAUGUUCAUUCCAAGAACACUUUUGAAAAUUUGAUUCUUGCUUACUUUAAUAUAAAACAAUCAGAUAGAAAUUUAGCUAAGUACAAAGAAGUUGCUAUAAAAUCACUACUUUGUCAUGAAUACUAAGUGGUUCUUCAAAGUAAGUGUGUAAUUCAAAGGAUAAAUUUAUUUUCUUUGGAAAAUUAGCUUUUCAGGUUACUUAGAAAAUAGAUUUGUGGGGCACAGUGAACACGAGACUGUAACAGAAGUAAUGCUGAGAACAUGAAUACUCCUGAUGCUUAUUCACUUAGAAAGAGAAAGCCAUUAGAUUAACAGUUGGCAUGCCCUUGGCCAGAGAGUGAUCCACUCUGGGAAGUGGUGAGUUGUCCUUGCUCCAGCAUAUGCUAAAACACUGGGCGCAGGGCAGAUACUGAAAGCCUUAAUUGAGGCCCAGAUAACCGCGUCAAAGCCUAAAUAACUAGGGCUCAGAGGGUACAGAUGCAAACCAUUGGCCAGCCUGUCAUGAGCAUGGCCUGACAGCGUCACAUGGGCUCCCGUGCACUGACUGCCCCAAGGGUUUGAGGGAGAGCCAGAGGUGAGAGCAGGUGAGGAGCUCUGUGGGUGUUGGAGAGGGAUGAGUACAGUCGGAAGUCCUGAGGUGAAACCCAUGGAGCUCGGGAUGUUGAGAUAGACAUUUUUGUGACAUGAAUUUGUAUUUCUGUUGAUUUAAAGAAAAAAAUAAGUUAUUCAUUUUUAUAUAAUUGAAAGGCCGAAACAAAGAGGGAGAAAGUUUUCCAUCCACAAGGUCACUCCCCAAAUGCCCACAGCAGCUUGGGCUGGGCCAGGCUAGAGCCAGAAGCCGAAAACUUCAUCUGGGUCUCCCACAUGGAUGGUGGGCACUCAAGUACUUGGGCCCUUAUCUGCUGCCUCUCAGGCACAUUAACAGGGAGCUGGCUUGGAAGUGGAACAUCUGGGAUUUGAACCAGGUACUCUGAUACAGAAUACAGAUAUGCCAAGGGGCAGCUUAACCCUUGGUGCCACAAUCCCCACACUGUGUUGAUUUUUAUAUUGUUUAUUAAGAGCAUGGAAGAAAUAACAGGGUAGAGAAAAGGUCACUAUAUGAUGACAUUUUAAAAGAAUACUUUCUGCAUAUUCAUUUGUGUUCUGUUUUUUAAAAUGAAGAGUUACUAAUGAGUUCCCUCAGUCUCGACCACCAAUUUAGAUGCAACCAUAUGGGAGCUUUUCCUUUUUUAAAAAAGAUUUUAAUUGAAAAGAUUUAUAAUUAAAAAAUUAUUUCUUUGAAAAGCAGAGAGAUAUAGAGUCAGCCAGAGACAGAGACAGGCAGAUGAGAUCUUUCUACUGAUUUACUCCCCAGAUGCCAGCAAUGGCCAGAGCCAGGGCAGGCUGAAGCCAGGAGCUGGAACUUAAUCCCUGUCUUCCACAUGGACAGCAGGAAUCAAGUGCUUGAGCCAUUGAUGCUGCCUCUCAGGGUAUGCAUUAUCACACACUGAAAAUGCAAGUGAGAGCCCUGAUGCAAACCUAGGUACUCUGAUUCAAGCAUCCCAAGUGGCAUUAUAAUUGCUUGCCAAAUAUCUGGCCCUUUGUCUGUCUGUCUGUCUGUCUAUCUAUUAUCUAUAUCUAUCUAUCUAUUUUUGUUCUAUUUAAGAGACAGAGAUGGGAGAGUGAGAACCCAUACUUCGCUGCUUCACUCCUCAAAUGCCUAUAAUGGCUGGGGCUGGACCAGGCCCAGGCUGAAGCUGGGAGACAGGAACUCAAGUGGCAGGGACCCAACUACUUGAGCACCCACUAAUAAACUUCCGAGGGUCUGCAUUAGCAGGAGGAAUUGAACCCAGUUACUCUGAUAGGGGAUGUAUGCAUCCUAGCUGCUAGGCUGAAUGCGUAUCUCUGGGAGCGUUUUCUAAUCAGCUGCCAUCAUUUCCUUCUGUACUGAACAUGGUUCCCUGUACACACAGCCUUGUGGUGGAGGCAUUUCUGUACAUGCCUUAUCUUUCCAAUUGGACUAUAGCCUAUUUGGGAGCAAGGUCAAGAGUUCAAAUGUAAAAAUAAAAGCAUGUAUGUUGUGCUUUAACACUGUGCAAGAGACUUUUCCUAUAUUAUUUUUCGUCAUGUUAACAGUAUUGACUAUAAUAAGGGCUUCUUAGAAGGAGAGGGUAUACUAUUUAUUUUAAGAUUCACUAGAACUGGCCGGCGCCGCGGCUCACUAGGCUAAUCCUCCGCCUAGCGGCGCCGGCACACCGGGUUCUAGUCCCGGUCGGGGCGCCGGAUUCUGUCCCGGUUGCCCCUCUUCCAGGCCAGCCCUCUGCUGUGGCCAGGGAGUGCAGUGGAGGAUGGCCCAGGUGCUUGGGCCCUGCACCCCAUGGGAGACCAGGAUAAGCACCUGGCUCCUGGCUCCUGCCAUCGGAUCAGCGCGGUGCGCCGGCCGCAGCGCGCCGGCCGCGGCGGCCAUUGGAGGGUAAACCAACGGCAAAGGAAGACCUUUCUCUCUGUCUCUCUCUCUCACUGUCCACUCUGCCUGUCAAAAAAAAAAAAAAAAAAAAAAAAAAAAAAAAAGAUUCACUAGAACUUAGUUUAAAGGACUACAUUAGUUUUAUUCAUAUUUUCAUUUGAAAGAGAGAGAGAGAUCUCCUAUCCACUUGGUUCACUCCCUAAUGACCAUAACAGUGGGGCUGGGCCAGUUUGAGGCCCAUAACUGGCGACACAAUCCAUGUAUGUGGCAGGAACUGAAGUUUUUGAGCCAUCACUGCUGCCUUCCAGGGCAUACAUUCCCAGGACACUGGCAUCAGAACAGAGCUGAGACUUGAACCGAGGCACUCGCAUACCAGAAAUGGGUGUCCCACUUGGUAGUUUAUUUGCUAAGCUAACCACCUGCCUCUGUCUUCUUAUUUCUAUGUUAUGUAUUUUAGAGUACUAGAAAAAUCUAGUUUACCUAAUCUUAGCAAAUGCAACUUUAAACAUUUAUAUGAGAUUUGGUGGGGAGGGGGAUAAACCUGAAAUCAAUAAAUAGAAACAGUAAGGAAGUUUUUUGACUUUAGAAAUUAAAAUUGGAAACGUAAUGAGAGAUCUUAAAACAAUUUUAAUCCAGGUUGUACUUUUGUCUGUAAAUGAUUAACAAAUGCAAAAAGAGGUCCCCAAGACAAAAACUGCAGUCCCCUGGCCCCCCACUCUCCUUCACGCACACUGCUGUCACCCCAGAGCCGACCAUGCUUCCAUGUUACAUGGUUUCUGAAGAUGUCUACCUCCGUGUUUUUCUGUUUCUUGUUUCUGUAUCUUGACUGUUCAGUUUUAGGUUUUGAGAACUGACUUGCCUCUGUGGAUGAGGAUUCAGCCCUCUUACUGGCACCUGCCCCAUGUACACACACUGCCCCAACCCCAUCCUUUUGGUGUGUUAUAUCACCUUGUAAAGGAAUCAGUAGUCAACGUUUACAUUUUUAUGACUUAUGUAAAUAUUAUUCAUGGGUGACCUAUCUAGUGUACUACGAUUGCAUUUCCUUUUGUUUUCUCUGUAGUUAAUGAUUGUCUCUUUUUUCCAUUGGUUUAAUUUCUUGGGUCCCUGUCACCAAUUUGCUUCCAGCAUUAGAAAUUUCCUUUCAGUCCAUUGAGACACACCAAGUACUCUGCACCUUCCCCUCGGGCUCCAGCUGGGACCAACUGCUGUUCACUGCCUUCCUAUGGGGUUCCUGCAGGGUGCUCUGCAGGAAUAUGGGACCUGGCACCUCCAGAAAGGCCAUUCUUCUCUCACUGCUGAUUGAUAGUUUAACUAGGGAUGUAAUUCCAGGGGAGAUCAUUUGCAGCAAACUUUUGAUGAUUUUGCUCUACUGCCUUGUAGCUUCCAAUACCGGGUUUGGGAAGUGUGAUGGCUUUAUGCGUCUUGAGUUUUUUUUUUUCCCCCGAUAACCUGGUUUCUGUCUGAAGGUUUUCAGCUCUUCUCUCUAUCCUCAUAUUCUAAAGCAUCCCAGUGUUGGGCGCUGAGGGAAGUGUUUUUCAGCCACUGUGCAGGGUGACCAGGCUACACAAGAGCGUAAUCAGAAAAUCAGUGUCUCUCACCUCAGGAAAGCUUUCCUGUACUAGUUCAUAUUUACUUUGUUCUGUGUCUCUCUAGAACUCAUGCUAGUGAGGCAUUAGACCUCCUGAACUCAUCAUUCAAGUGUCCCCUCUUUUUCUUCUAGUUGUCUUAUUUGUUGGGAAAUUUUCUUAACUGAUCUUCUAACACAUUAAUAGAUGACACAGACACUGGAGGUGGGGCCUGGCCUGCUGAGUGCAGGCCAGCUGCCUGCAGAGUUGUCCAGAGCCAUUCUGGACAUGACCUGUGUGGGAAAUCAGUGCUGCUUGUAGCUGCUGAGACUUUGGUGUUGCUUUUUACUUGGGUGUUACCAAGCCUAUCCUGACUGAGAUGGCUGUCAGUCACAUUUAAGAAGUAGGCAUUGGGGUCAGUGCUGUGGUAGAGCAGGUAAAGCCACUGCCUGCAGUGCUGGCAUUCCAUAUGGGCACUGGUUCAAGUCCUGGCUGCUCCACUUUUGAUCUAGCUCUCUGCUAUGGCCUGGGAAAGCAGUGGAAGAUGGCCCAGGUCCUUGAGCCCCUGCACCCAGGUGGGAGAUCAGGAAGAAGCUCCUGACUCCUGGCUUUGGAUUGGCGCAGCUCCUGCCAUUGCGGCCAGUUAGGGAGUGAACCAGCGGGUGGAAGACCUCUCUCUCUGCUUCUGCUUCUCUCUCUGUGUAACUUUUUUUUUUUUUUUAAAGAUUUAUUUAUUUUUUACUUGAGGGUCAGAGUUACACAGGGGCCCAAGGACUUGGGCUGUCUUCCACUGCUGUCCCAGGCCAUAGCAGAGAGCUGGAUUGGAAGUGGAACAGCCAGGACUAGGACCAGCGCCCAUAUGCGAUGCCGGCACUUGAGGCCAGGGCGUUAACCCGCUUCGCCACAGCGCUGGCCCUUCUGUGUAACUCUUUCAAAUAAAUAAAUAAAUCUUAAAAAAAAAAAAAA